AGAAAAGCAACACAUUCUCUCUAGUCAUGUUCAGUAUCCAAAUCCCAUGUUUAUAAACACAAGGAAAAUUCAAUAUAACACAAUCAUAAAUACCAAACACAUUCAAAACAAACAAUCCGAGCAAAACAAAUGGUAAUAAGAAAAGAAAAAAAGAAAAGCUACCGGACAUCGUGGCGGCUACGGGAUGAAAUGCGGAAGUUCAUGGUGGUGAGGGAUGUGUCAUUUGGUGGCAUUGGUGCGGAAUAGCUCAUGUGCAUGAGGUAUUGAUUUGUUUUAUGGAAAUACAGUGAGGAGAAGAUGCAAUAAGCAGGGGUUGUAAAGUUGAGUUGGUGAGAAAUAUAUGGUUACCGGUAGUACUAUUGCGUUUGGAUCUGGCGGAAAAUGAUUUUGGCUAUUACUUAGAUGGUUGUUUGUUGGUGAAUGAUGGUUAUGUGAGUUUGGAAAUAGAGAGAUAAAUUACAUGAACAUGAAACCAAAAUCUCAAGUGUGUUGGUGUGUGGACUAAUGGUGGACAUGUAAGGAGAUUAAUGGUGUGUUGAAGCGAGUUUAAUUAUGAAGUUAUUGAUUCUUCUUGACAAAGAUUUGUUUUAUGGAACAAGAAGAUAUGUGGUCUUUUAAGAAAAAUGGUGUAUGGAUCUCUAGUAGCAGAGUGAAGAGAGAGUUUAUGUGUAUGUGGAAAGAGAGAGUGGUGAAAUAUUUUUGGGUGUAAAAUGUGGAGACGUGGAUGCACUUGACAGUGUAAAAUGGGGAUACGUGUCCCACUUUGAGUUGAGGGUUCAUGAUUAUUAUUAUUUUUUUAUUAAUUUUUAAAAUAACUAAAAAACUAAAAAUGUUAGCCAUUAAAAUAAAAAUCGAAAAUACAAAAAUAAAUCAAAAUAAAAACAUGGAAAAAACUAUUUAAUUCCAACAAUUAUUUUGGUUAAAAACGAAAAUCACAUAAAAAAUGAAUAAAAAAACCGAACGGGCGAAAAGAUCUUCGAAAAAAUUAAACUGACUGCACCAAAAUUAUCAAUGCGAAAUAAAAUUCCCGAAAACAUACAGGCUUUGGAUCAAAUUUGAAAUAAAAAUCGACAGGUUAAAAGGCUAGGCAGGCAUAAAAAUGCGACAGAGAGAAGUAAUCAAAAAAUAAAAAUGACACACCAGGAUAAAUUACAUGAACCAUAAUAUUAAUAAAAUUAACGUUUGCAAGCUUAAUUUAGAAAUUUUCAUCCGCUAAUUCGAUUACAAUUGCAGAAACUGGUCGCGACCGGUCUGUCUGUAAUCAGAAAAAUUAACUGGCUGAAAUUUAAGCACAAUGCAAAAUAAAAUGCAUGUUGUGACAAGUAUAAAAUGCAACGUCUUUAUAAAGGAGUGAAUUGCUGAUGAAUAACCGCGAACAGACAAUCAGAUAGUAUUGAAUCACCCUUGGACCAUUUGCUUCUCAUUCUCAAGCACAAACAAAACCUAUACAUAUUCAGACGAAGACAACUCUCUUGAUUAUCACCUUCCAAAUCUCUGAAACAAGAUGCAAUAGAAUAAAUGAUGCACUGAGAUCGAGAAAUCAAGUCUUUCGACUUCUCAAUCGACAGAUGACUAAAUGAAUAUCAUCAAGACCAGAUAAAAUGCCAGAAUUCAUGACUUUUCAUCUAAACUCUGAUAAAUGCUUUUAACUUAUGAAAUGCACGACAAAAAAUGGAUCAAUUUUACUAUAAGGAUGCAAGUGAAAACUCAGGGUAAAAUUUAGGGUAUGACAGUAUAUCAUUGUUUUUCUUUUUAUCACUAACCAAAAAGUACAAAAAUAUGUCAUUAACCCUUUGUCUUGCAGAUGAAGCAUUAAGAGGUCAAGGCAAUCAAAGGCAUUCAUUGAGCAAUAGAUGGUGGUCAUUCUUGAGAUUUGGACCCCAUAAUCAUUCACAAGAGUUCAUAUGAGCUAUGAUGACAUCUUGAAGCAAAAUCCCAAGUGGUAGAGGCUUGAAUCUCAUCAGAAUAUUUCCAGGUCAUCUGAAGACCUAGAAAGUCAACUGCAAAGUCAACUGUGGAUUUGGAGGUGGGAAGUGAUUAGAAAUACUUCAUUCAUGUUCAAACAAGUUUCAUUUGACAUUUCAAACACUCACAUUGAAGAAUUUGAGGUCCAGUCAAGACUUUCCCAAAAUAGAAAGUGACCUAUAAUUUGAACUUUCCAAAAAUGGAAAGAUUUUGGACCAACUUCAACUCAAUAUUACAUCAUCAAGAAAUCUUCAAAUGGAACUUUGUCCAACAUGAAAGUUGAAGAUCUUUCUCUCCCAUUUCCAAAAUGUCCAAGAUCAUGAAUUUCUAAUGUGUGGUUGAUGAGAUAUGAUCCAAUCAUGGCAAAGUGUGUUCAAAAAUUCAAAUGGGCAUAACUUUUGAACCAAAGCUCCAAAAUGAGUGGUUCUUUUUGCAAUAUUCUCCUCAUGACUUGUAGUUUCCAAACAUCUCAUUACAUGGCUUGAACUCCACUUGCAUAAUCAUGUGCUCACUCAUGAAGAUUUUUGAAGGAAAUUUCAUAAAAUCAUUUUGGUGGAUCAUAUGUAUACAAAACCAUUUCCAAAGCUUGCAUGGAGUAAUUUUAAGUGAUUUUGGGCCUCAUGGUGGUACUGUUCACGCAUGCAUGAAGUGCAUGAGGUGAAAAUACCAAUUGAUACAUACACCUCAUAAGUAUUUCCAAAGCUUGCAUGGAGUAAUUUUAAGUGAUUUUGGGCCUCAUGGUGGUACUGUUCACGCAUGCAUGAAGUGCAUGAGGUGAAAAUACCAAUUGAUACAUACACCUCAUAAGUUGCUAAUCUCAUUUGCAUUUGGCUUAAACUUGAUUUCAGAAUCAUUAGCAGGACCUAUAUAUUGUUAAUCAUAACUACAUUCAUCAUGAGCAUUCAUUUUUAGAUCUAGAUUCAAGAAUCACCAAAUUUUUCUCUCAAAAUAUUUUUCAAAUUCUUCACACAAGAGCCAUUUCUACUGAUUGAUUCAUGAUCCUGAAGCAUUUUUGAGUGGAUUUGAACGUGGAAUUGGAAGGAAUCGUGCCAUAUUUGUUCAUAUUCGAAGCUUAAAGCAUCCAUGGAAUUUUCAAAAUCUACUGGAUUCACGUGCAAUUGAGCUUCAAUCUCACCAGCAUUCAUCUCCACAAGCAUCAUAGAGGAACUUUGAGCCAUUACAAGCCUUGUAUCACGUGAUUCCAGUUUCUGUUCUUCAAAGAGGUCAGGAUUCGAUCUCAAUAAUUCUUGAAUUUAUUAGGGUAUUCAUGUAGAUCUCGUGUUGUAGAGAAUGCUGGUGAAAAAAUGAAGUGAAAUGAUGCAUUAUUGAUGAAGUUAUGCAUGUUUAAAGUUUUGAUGUCAUUUAAGUUUUUUCUUCGAUUUGACUUUGUUAUGAUGAUUCGUGUUUAAUUGAUGUUUGAUCUUGAAUGUACAUGACAUGAUGAAUCGUUUGGUGCUAAAUUUAUUGAUUUCUGGACACUUUUUGAAUUUUCUGGAAAUUCACAUGAAGAUCAUCAUGAUCUUCAUCUUCAACCUAUGAACUUCAUGCAUUUCCAGAUUUGCUAUGACUUCGCUAGGAAUUUGCUACGAAAUCUUCAUGUGUUUGCUACGAAUUCUGGAAUUUCUGGGCGCUAGGGUUUUAAGCCAAUACGCUGCCGUUUUGACGAAAUCUUCAUGUGUUUGCUACGAAUUCUGGAAUUUCUGGGCGCUAGGGUUUUAAGCCAAUACGCUGCCGUUUUGCUUGGCGCCAAAAUUCAAAUGUGGACCGUGUUCGAGUCUCACCGAGCGAGAUUUUUUCAAAUGCUUCAUGUUUUCAUACUUUCCCUCCCAUUUUCAUGCCUUGGCUCAUUUUUUAUUUCAAUUUUUUCAUGAACUUAGAAAAAUCACAAUAAAUUGAAAAAUGCAUCAAUUUCACUCCAAUUUUUUGCAUGAUGCUCCUUAUCCUGUCUAGUGUUUUAUGAGUAUGAAUUUACAAGUUGUGCCUGGCUAGAAAAAUAAUUUGUUCUAGGAUGAUUGAGCAUGUAUCCAUUUUUGACAUUGCCUUGCUUAUCUUAUUGUGAAAUGCUUGUUUCUUAUCCAAUGAAUGUGAAAUUUUGCAUGCUAAUUCUAGACACUUUGCUGGACAUUUUGGUUUUAGUUUGACAUUUUUCUCAAUUACCAUUUCUGUUUUAUGCUUGUGCUAACUUGGUGUGACAAUUUGUGUCACACCUUUGAAUGUUCAACUUGUGCCAUGUGAUUUCCAUGCCAAAUGAUCUCUGUUUCCCCUGAUUUUUUGUAUGUUGAUCAUGUUAGAUGUCUUGAAUGUGCAUGAAUUUUUCCAGAUUUAUUUGAAUCAUUUCUGUUUUGAUUUGAAUUUUUCAUUCAUGUUGGUCACAUAUGAGCUUUGAAAUUGCCUUUGACUUCACUUGAUCAUGAAAUGCUUUUGGUGAUUGAUUUUGAUGUGAGCCUUUUUAGGACUUAUCAAUAUGUGCUUGAAGUUACUUUGUGUUAAAUUUCAGUCCCUGUUUUGAAUUUUUUCUCCAUCUUUGACCCUAGGCUUUGACCUAGUGGUUUGUUGCUUACAUGUGAGCUUUGAUUUCAGGUUGAAUAUCCAAGUUCCAUAGGUGAUGAUGCUUCAUCAUUUGAGUAUUGAUGUUUGCUUUUGAUUACUAACAUUGUGUAUUUUGUAGGUUGAUGCUAACUCAUUUGAGUUUGCCUUAUGGCUUACACAUUUUGUACAUUGGGAUUGUCUGUUGCUUAUUGACUGUGGUCUGUUUGUCUGAGUAUUGUACUGAUUUGUUUAGUUGUUUCCACAGGUACCUAAGUUGCUUUAAGUUCAUUUGAACUUUGCUUUGCUUGGUUGCUUAACCACUUAGGUAUAAUCCCUAAUCUUCAUGUAGUCUGGAAGACCUACUGUUAUUGGUAGCACCUGUCUGAAGCCCUCGCUAAGACAAUGUUGUGCUUGUGCCAAGCAGGAAAAGUCCUCUUAUGAGGCAAUUGGCAGAUAAAAGAGAUGUGUAAUCCAUCUCCUGCUACUCAGUGUGUCAUUCACCUUGCUCACACCAUGUGUUGAUGCAUGGUGAAUAAUAACUCAAGAUCUUAUAGAGUCAAUCAUUUGUGGAGAAGAGUUUUAACUUUCUGAACUCCCACACUUUCCAUUGAUCAAAGCUCUCCCUGACCAGGGAUAAGAGCUAUGAGGCACACCCCUCAUCUCCAUUUCAUCUGCUUCACCAUAACUCUCAAUGUUAGGGUUAAGAGCUCACAAUACCCCAUUCCAGUUGGCUGUAAAGCCUAACCUUGCUUGAGCCUAAUUGAUUGUAUAUAGUGUGUGCUAAUUGACUUGUUUGUUUGCUUACUUGAUCCAUCUGUGCAUAUUUGCUUAUGUGUGCCUUUGUGCAUGUAUCAUCAUUACUGGUAUAUCAUUUCAUAAUCAUUGUUCAUAUCUUUGUGACAUUCUGUUUUGUCCAUUGAGGAGUCAAUUGUAAGUCCAGCUAUUGGCAGUUGUUUCCUAUGAUCUGGAGGGAUUUGGAACUAAGACCAUUCAUUGGCAUUCCUUUCCUUGGAGUCGAGUGUAAGACCAUUUAUUGGNNNNNNNNNNNNNNNNNNNNNNNNNNNNNNNNNNNNNNNNNNNNNNNNNNNNNNNNNNNNNNNNNNNNNNNNNNNNNNNNNNNNNNNNNNNNNNNNNNNNNNNNNNNNNNNNNNNNNNNNNNNNNNNNNNNNNNNNNNNNNNNNNNNNNNNNNNNNNNNNNNNNNNNNNNNNNNNNNNNNNNNNNNNNNNNNNNNNNNNNNNNNNNNNNNNNNNNNNNNNNNNNNNNNNNNNNNNNNNNNNNNNNNNNNNNNNNNNNNNNNNNNNNNNNNNNNNNNNNNNNNNNNNNNNNNNNNNNNNNNNNNNNNNNNNNNNNNNNNNNNNNNNNNNNNNNNNNNNNNNNNNNNNNNNNNNNNNNNNNNNNNNNNNNNNNNNNNNNNNNNNNNNNNNNNNNNNNNNNNNNNNNNNNNNNNNNNNNNNNNNNNNNNNNNNNNNNNNNNNNNNNNNNNNNNNNNNNNNNNNNNNNNNNNNNNNNNNNNNNNNNNNNNNNNNNNNNNNNNNNNNNNNNNNNNNNNNNNNNNNNNNNNNNNNNNNNNNNNNNNNNNNNNNNNNNNNNNNNNNNNNNNNNNNNNNNNNNNNNNNNNNNNNNNNNNNNNNNNNNNNNNNNNNNNNNNNNNNNNNNNNNNNNNNNNNNNNNNNNNNNNNNNNNNNNNNNNNNNNNNNNNNNNNNNNNNNNNNNNNNNNNNNNNNNNNNNNNNNNNNNNNNNNNNNNNNNNNNNNNNNNNNNNNNNNNNNNNNNNNNNNNNNNNNNNNNNNNNNNNNNNNNNNNNNNNNNNNNNNNNNNNNNNNNNNNNNNNNNNNNNNNNNNNNNNNNNNNNNNNNNNNNNNNNNNNNNNNNNNNNNNNNNNNNNNNNNNNNNNNNNNNNNNNNNNNNNNNNNNNNNNNNNNNNNNNNNNNNNNNNNNNNNNNNNNNNNNNNNNNNNNNNNNNNNNNNNNNNNNNNNNNNNNNNNNNNNNNNNNNNNNNNNNNNNNNNNNNNNNNNNNNNNNNNNNNNNNNNNNNNNNNNNNNNNNNNNNNNNNNNNNNNNNNNNNNNNNNNNNNNNNNNNNNNNNNNNNNNNNNNNNNNNNNNNNNNNNNNNNNNNNNNNNNNNNNNNNNNNNNNNNNNNNNNNNNNNNNNNNNNNNNNNNNNNNNNNNNNNNNNNNNNNNNNNNNNNNNNNNNNNNNNNNNNNNNNNNNNNNNNNNNNNNNNNNNNNNNNNNNNNNNNNNNNNNNNNNNNNNNNNNNNNNNNNNNNNNNNNNNNNNNNNNNNNNNNNNNNNNNNNNNNNNNNNNNNNNNNNNNNNNNNNNNNNNNNNNNNNNNNNNNNNNNNNNNNNNNNNNNNNNNNNNNNNNNNNNNNNNNNNNNNNNNNNNNNNNNNNNNNNNNNNNNNNNNNNNNNNNNNNNNNNNNNNNNNNNNNNNNNNNNNNNNNNNNNNNNNNNNNNNNNNNNNNNNNNNNNNNNNNNNNNNNNNNNNNNNNNNNNNNNNNNNNNNNNNNNNNNNNNNNNNNNNNNNNNNNNNNNNNNNNNNNNNNNNNNNNNNNNNNNNNNNNNNNNNNNNNNNNNNNNNNNNNNNNNNNNNNNNNNNNNNNNNNNNNNNNNNNNNNNNNNNNNNNNNNNNNNNNNNNNNNNNNNNNNNNNNNNNNNNNNNNNNNNNNNNNNNNNNNNNNNNNNNNNNNNNNNNNNNNNNNNNNNNNNNNNNNNNNNNNNNNNNNNNNNNNNNNNNNNNNNNNNNNNNNNNNNNNNNNNNNNNNNNNNNNNNNNNNNNNNNNNNNNNNNNNNNNNNNNNNNNNNNNNNNNNNNNNNNNNNNNNNNNNNNNNNNNNNNNNNNNNNNNNNNNNNNNNNNNNNNNNNNNNNNNNNNNNNNNNNNNNNNNNNNNNNNNNNNNNNNNNNNNNNNNNNNNNNNNNNNNNNNNNNNNNNNNNNNNNNNNNNNNNNNNNNNNNNNNNNNNNNNNNNNNNNNNNNNNNNNNNNNNNNNNNNNNNNNNNNNNNNNNNNNNNNNNNNNNNNNNNNNNNNNNNNNNNNNNNNNNNNNNNNNNNNNNNNNNNNNNNNNNNNNNNNNNNNNNNNNNNNNNNNNNNNNNNNNNNNNNNNNNNNNNNNNNNNNNNNNNNNNNNNNNNNNNNNNNNNNNNNNNNNNNNNNNNNNNNNNNNNNNNNNNNNNNNNNNNNNNNNNNNNNNNNNNNNNNNNNNNNNNNNNNNNNNNNNNNNNNNNNNNNNNNNNNNNNNNNNNCAUCAUCCUAUAUAAACAUAUCAUAACGUAUAUUAGCUUACAAUUACAAACAAAUGAUAACUUCGAAUUUGGGGAAUAAUGACUUUUGUUUAAUAGAUUGUAACAUACAAUUUCAAUUUUUUUUCCCUUUUUCCAAUUCCUGCAUCUCCAGAACUUGCUCUUAGGAUUUUUCGUCGUAUUCGAUACCCAAACCUUCAUGAAUACAUUACGACAACAUCUUGGUAUUUGACUUCCAUUCGAAGUACAAAUUGAGGAAUUUCACCUACCUAUCGUUUGGAAACCCUAAUUCAACUUCUUCAUGUUUCAUGGGCAGCUUAUUGACAAAUGAAGGAAAUGAAUUGUUGUGGUUGAAGAAGAAUAUGCAUUUCAUAUGGAUGGAAGAAAAUGUGUUAUCGUGAAGAACGAAUGGAAGAAGAAGAAUGAGUGGAAGAUGAUGAUGAUUGUGAACCAAUUAAAUAAAUCAAAAUUGGAUAUUUUUUCUGACGAGGCAUUAUUAAGUCCACGUGUCAAUGAAAAAAAAUUGAAAAUCAAAAUAUAUUGGCCACCAAGCUUGUCACAUAAGAUCCUUUAGUGGAUUUUUUCACUAAAAGGUUUAAACAAACAAAAUAUUCAAUUGGUAAGGUUGGUUUCACAAAAAAAAAUACACGGGGGAAAAUCAGAAGUCGCCUAUAUGGAAGGGGAAAUGCUAAUAACCCUAAAAAGUAAUGGUAUAAAAGAAACAAUGUGAUAUUAUUCUACUAUAAACAUUGAUAUUGCUCCUCAAGUUGGACUAUGGGUGGAAUAUAAACCCAACUUGGACAAUAUAGUAAAAAAGGCUGGAAAAUGCCAGGGCUUGGUAAAAACAUUAACUAGUUGAGAGAUGCUUGGUACAAGGAGUAAGUGGAUGAGCUUAGAUUGAAGCUUCUCGCAAAUAAUGUGACAAUCCAUCUUAUUAUGUUUACUUCUCUCAUGGAAAGUGAGAUUAUGGGCCAAGUAAAUGGCAGAUCUGCUGUCACAAUGAACAGAAGCUGGAACAUGAAAAUCAAUUAUAAAAUCUUUGAACAAAUAUUAUAACCAUUAAAUUUCACAAGUCAAAGAAGCCAAGACCGUGUAUUCAGUGGAAGAUCUUGAGACAUUAUUUUACUUCUUUGAUUUCCAAGAUAUCGGUGAAGAGCCAAGAAGCACACAAAAGCAUGUGAUAGACUUUCUUGUUUCAAAGCAUCAUACCCAGUCUGAAUCAGCAAAGCCAGACAAUUUCAGUGAACUAGAAGAAGGGAAGAAAAUACCUUUUGUAGGGGAAGAUUUGAGGUACUUUAGAAUGCGUGUGAUAGCUUCAUAAUGAUGAAUAAGUGGUUUUGAUACAAACUGACCCCAAGUAUUGCACUGAGAAGGAAAUAUCAUGCCUAGUAUUUGUCAAAUAGAGAAGCCUCCAAAUGAGUCUUAUAUAAGAGGAGGGAUCUCCUAAACGUAAUCCUUCACUGACAGACAAAUUUGGUAGUAGGAUUAAAAGGAAUGUAAAAGGCUUAGUAGCCAAGAAAUUCGUGUCUUCCAACAAUUCAAAAGUAUAUUUUCUUUGAUUAACAAAAAUACCACUAUCAGAUCUAGCAAUCUAUAGACCUAAAAAGUAUCUCAGUUUGCCUAGGUCUUUAAUUCUAAAUUUCAGGUCCAAAUACUUUUUAACAUAUUGGAUUUUAUGAGAAUAACUUCCAGCUAAUACUAUUUCGUCAACAGUAAAACGAUCAUUAGUGGAUUUUAUGUAGAGAGAUUGAUCAUAUUGAGUAUGCAUGUAUCCUAAAGAUAUUAAGGAAGCAUAGAGUUUAUGUUACCAUUAUCGACUAGUUUGUUUCAAGCCAUAUAGUGAUGAGAUACUCAGGCGGUAGACAUGUAAACCUCCUCAGUUAAAUCCUCAUGAAGAAAUGUUUUGUUGACAUCCAAUUAUUCAAGAUGCCAACCCUUAACAAAGGCUAAAGCCAAGAAAACUCUAAUACUAGGGAUUUUAGCAACCGGAGAAAAAGUAUCAAAAUAAUACACUCUUUUCAUUUGUCCUUUUGGAACUAGUCGAGAUUUAUACCACUCAAUUGAAGAAAUGCUUCUUUAUUAUUGUUUUAUUGCUUUUGUGUUAUCAACUUGCUACUUCAUGUACUAUCUGAUUUUAUUUUUUACAAUGGCCAAUCUUUACCUAUAUAUUUUUCUUUAAAUUUUCCUGCCGAAUUAAAUUAUAAUAUUUAUUUCUCUUAAAUUAGUCAUCUAAUAAAAGAUUAUUUUACUAACUAACAUAAAUUCAGAAUGGUGAAUGUUUAACCCAUUAACUUUUUAAUUUAUUCUAACUUGCUCUUUAUUAAUAUGUAUUUCUUCAAACAAUAAAUUACAGAUAAAAUUAGAUUUUCUAUAAAUAUUAUUAGAUAUUUUGUAAGUUAUUAUUAUAUUAAUCUUUUAACAAUUAAAAUCAUAUUCGAGUUUUUUUUGACUCAAGAUAUUUAAAAUGAGAGUAAAAUACAUAAAUUUAUUACUAAUGUAAGUUUUUAUAUUUUUAAUUAAAAAUUAUGAAUUGUGUUCAAAUAAAAAGUUAUCAUUUCAAAAAAAACAUUAUCAUACAAAAAAUAAUGUUUGAAACUAUAAAAAUACUUAAUGGUUCAUUAAAAAUAGAAUCUUUGACACUUUAACUCUAAAUCAUAGAAUCAAAACAUUACUUAGAUUCAGAUGGAUAUAAUCAUAUAGAUUAUCAAAUUUUGUAAAAAAUAUUUAAAUAAACUUAUAGAAUGCGAUGACUUAAUACAAGCAUUCCAAAAUCUUUUUUCAUAUCUCUCCCAUCAAUCAGUUAAAUAAAAUUAUAGAAUGCAAUGCAAAAACAACAGCUCUAUGAAAAGCUAAACCUUUACAGAACAUAUGUCUUAAAACCGACAAGUUAAUGAUGUAAUAUAUGUGAAUAGAUUACGAUAUAAUGAUAAAUGUAAGCAUAACAGCUAUAAUAUUGCAAUAUUUCAACCUUAAUAACACAUAAUGUUUUAAACACAUUUAAUUUGAAUUCCAAAUCCUUUAAGGUAUUCCUAAUAUAUUUUCAAAAACCCACCACAACAUCAUUAUUGUUUAAACGUUUGCAUAGAUUAAUUCAUACACCAUAGAAUAUAUUAAAUACUAAAGUAAUUAAUAUUGAAGGAGCCGGCGCAAAUAUAUUAGAAAAUUAUAAGAUUUAAAUAUGUAGUAAUUAUCAAUUUGAAAUACAUAAAAGAGUCAAUUUCUAAAUACUUGUAAUUAUAAUGCAAUCGAUAAUAUACAAUAAAUCACGAUUGUUAUGAAUUGUGCUCUCCAAUUCACUCUCACAAUCAUUCAGUAACAAUAACCACUAAUUCGAUCUUGAGUAAUCAAAUCGUUUCAAAGGUAGUGCUGAAGUAACACCGAUAGUAAUAACAAUUUUCGAAAAUACUCUCACUAGAUGAUUUCACCAAACCACCAACCAUCGUUAUCAAAAACGUCCACUCUUUGGUUGAGAUGAAAAUGUGCGAUGACGAACACGUGGUGGUAAUGGACGGAGUUCUCUUGAUAAAUAAUCUCUGUGAGAGGUUCAGAUCAUCAUUAGUAAUUGUUUUUCUUGUGACGAAAACUAUUUCCUUUUGAAGAGACGAAAUAAUAAUAUGGCAUGUAUAUGAACCCACAAACCCUUUCUUCUCUACGCCAUACUUCACUUGUUGCUCCCAACAUGUAAGUUGAUCUUCUCAUGGGUGGACGAUGGACGGAUGAUAUGAACUAAAAUAAGAACUUAAAUGAGGAGAAACUGAAGAGAAGAGAGAGAGUGUAGUAGUUUUUGUGUGUAUAAACAAUAUAUAAUAUGUUUUUAUAUAGUUGAGGAAUUAAGUGUUUGUGUUUAGAUUAGAUUUUCUUUUAAAGAUAAUUGUAAUCAUUAGUGUGAUUAGGUGGUUGAGAUUUUAUUUUCAUAAUAUUAAUUGUAUAUAGUUAAUAUACCAUUUAUUGCAUUUGAAUUAAGAUUUUUAAUAGUUUUGAUUUUAUUCAUUCAGAGAUUGACGAAUUUAAUUUUGACUAUCCGUUGUUUUUUAUUUAUAUAAAAUAUAGUACUUUUUAUAUGAUUUGUUUUUAUAUAUGUAGAUAUAACUUUUUGACCACCUUCAAAGUGUCUAAACUUUUCUGACUAUCCAAUUUUAAUAACUUCUUUAACUUUCUUUUUUAUAACAUGAAUGCUAUUUCUAUAAGAUAUGUUAAUUGAAUAGUUUUUAAUUAAUAUAUAAUAUAACUUAUUAGAUUUUUUUAAUUUUUAGAUUUAAUAACAAUUAUUCCACAUUCCAAAAAUUAAUGAUAGAUGAGAAGAUUUUUUUUAUUUUAUGAUUUAUAAAGAUUGUUCAAAUGCUUUUUUUUCUUUCAGAUAGUACUAUGACGCUAUGAAUGGUGAAUUAGUUAGAGAGCUUUAUAAGCUUUGAUGAGUGUGAUAGUAAAAAUGUUUUGUUGCUUUUUUAAUUCAGCUAAUUUCUUGGGGAUUAGUAACAAUGAUUUCUUUAAAAAAAAAUUAAUAAUCAUGUUUUUCAAAAAAAAUACGAAAAUUAAUCAGUUUUCAAAUUUUUUUUUCAAAAUAAUCAUGUUUGGGAGAGGAUGCGCGGGGGGAGUUGGCGCACCCCUUAAAAUUUUAGAGGAGACGCCAGUUGUAUUGGCGCCUAUGCAUUGGGCUCCUAAAGGAGGAGCCAAUGCAAGUGGCGCCUGCUUGGGCCUCCUAAAGGAGGCGCCAAGGGCAGUGGCGCCUACAUGGCCCUCCUAAAGGAGGCGCCAAGGGCAAUGGCGCUUGUGUGUGUAUGCAAGGUGACACUUUUUGUGGCGCCUGUGUGUGUGUCAUGUGGCUGCCACUUCAACUGGCGCCUACGUGUUUUGUCUAAUUCAUCUUCCGCCUCUAUAAAUACCAUCACCUUGCAUACAAUUAUUUCCACUCAAAUUCAUCUCUUAGUCUAGUUCAACCAUCGAUUUUAAUUUUCUUUGUUUUAACAAUGUCUGCAUACAUUCAGAAACGAAAUGCUGAUGUAAUAUUUUCUGCCGUUGCGGCUCCGAUACAGGUUCAACUUUGGAACACAGAUACGUUUGAACGUCUUAAUCGGACGUUCUAUAGUUGGUUAGAGGGAGAAAUUGGAGAGGGUGAACGGAUUAGAAGAAUACAGGUAAUUCUGUGAAUAUAAUGUAUUUACCUUUAUUACGCAACAUCAAUAAGGUAAACACUUAUAGUUGGGGUUCAGCUGUGUUGGCCCAUCUAUAUAGUGCAAUGUGUAGAACUGCAAAAAAGAAUAUCUGUACUUUUUUUUCAUGUGCUUAUUUGCUUCAAGCUUGGGGGUGGUCUAGGAUGUCGUCGCUAGCCCCGAUAAAUGAGCGUCCAUUCGUGUUCCCCUUUGCAACCAAGUAAGUCUAGCACUUUACCAUUCACCAUUUAGUUAAUUAUAUAUAUUAUUUAAAUUAACAGUAAAUAAUAUUUUUCACUUCUUUUUAUUAUCUUAGGUGGUCAGUAAGGGGAAUGAACUACAAUAGGUGUCUGAAACACGCUAUUGUAGUCUAUCAAAAUCUAUUGGAUCACAUUGGACAUGAUGAUGUAAUACUCCUACCAAACUAUAGUUAAUCUAAAAAUACUUCUCAAAUUAUUUUCCAUCUAACGAUUUGGUAUUUUUUUUUCCAGUUUGUUUGGAGGCCACAUCUGGGUCUGAAUCAUGAUGUGAACCAUGACGAUGCUGCAAUUUGGACAACGAAGACACCGAUUAUCCGAUUCACUACAGUUGAAAUGCACCAAAGUGACCGGGUCAAACUGCAGUUCGGAAUGCUACAACAUAUUCCAGAAUCUCCCACGUGUUUGGGGAAUUGGCAGCAAAAAAAGGGUCGAUGCACAGUGGGAUUAUUCUGACUGGAGAGACUUUGCAAAAGACAUGUGUCGUCAAUGGAGGAAUCGACGACAACACAUCCUGAACGAACCAGUCAUCCAAGGUGCAAGACCGACUCAACAAUAUAUGGCAUGGUUUAGGUCUGUAACAACUCAGCAAUUCGUAUCUGAGCCGCGAUAUUUGAUGGAUCCGCGCCAACUUGCUUCGUCAUCGUAUGUCCACAUCAAUUCACACCCAACACCAAUGUGAACCCACCCAAAACCCAAAAACCAACCACACAACAUCAACCGACCACAUACACAAAACAACCACACACCCAACAUCGCAACCCGUUCAUGCCAACCACCCAACAACGAACCAUCCAACGUCGCAAUCCAUUCAUACCACCCACUCAAACACAAAACCAAGAACCAAACCCCGCAACCGCAACCGUCUAUAGCACAGAUGAUUCAUAUGGAUCACGUCAUUGUAGCCCCCCACUAAUGAACACUCAACAUUUGUUUAACUAUAGUACGCCCCAAGAACCAUUGCUUCGUUUUCAUAACGACUCAAUGGCCCAAUUUGGGCAACUAUACCGUCCCCAAUUCACCCAACCCCAACGCCCUAACUACGAUGACAUGGACGCCGAACUCCAUUACGGAAGCGCCGUUGGUCAGAGCCCCUCCGGAUAUUGGGAGCAAAUGAUGACACAUCUGUCAAAUACCGCCGGAACUUCUGUCGGACCUUCCAACCAGUCAUCGCGAUCAGGUCAGCACCCAAAGACCACAAACACCUCAAGAAAAUCGUGGGAGACCUCGGAGACAACCUAAUGCACCGGGAUGUGGAACCGGUAGACGUUAUAAUCGGGCGAGUCAUUAGGUUUUUGGUCUUUCUAAUGUAAUCAAUUAUUAUAUAUUUAAUGAAGUUAUUUUAUUUUUAUUUUUAUUUAUUAUGUAUUAAAUAAUAAAUUUUAAAUAUUAAAAACAAAAAAUAUUAUAAAAAAAAUAUAAUUAAAAAAAAUUAAAAUAGAAAAAAAAAUAACAGGAGGGGGUGUAUGCGCCAGAUGUGGUGGCGCAUACACCCACCACACACACACUAAGGCGCCAUGUCUAUUGGCGCUCUUUUAGGAGGGACACUAAGGCGCCAAUGCCCUUGGCGCCUCUUUAGGAGGCCCAAGCAGACGCCACUUGCAUUGGCUCCUCCUUUAGGAGCCCAAUGCAUAGGCGCCAAUACAACUGGCGCCUCCUCAAAAAUUUUAAGGGGUGCGCCAACUCUCCGGGCGCAUCCUCUUCCAAACAUGAUUAUUUUGGAAAAAAAAAUUGAAAACUUGGUUAUUUUCGUAUUUUAUUUUGAAAAACAUGGUUAUUUUAAAAAAAAAAUCUGACUUCUUUGCUUUAUAGAUUUUAUGAUUUUGCAUGUUUUUAGAGGUGCUUGUAACAAAAAAGAUUAAUAAUUAAAAUACACUUGCAUACUAUAAUCUCAUUUAUGAAAACUUUAACUUUCUCCAAUGUUUUCAUGCUCAGAAUUUUAAAAAUGAAAAAGCAAAAUUAAUAUUUAAAUAAAUUGUUUAGUAGUCAUAAUUUGUUUUGGUUAGCACCGAUAGAUAACUCCGAUAAAAUUGAUUUAAAUUUUGAUUUAUUUUAAAAUAUUAAAAUAAUAUUAAAAAAUGGCAUAAUAUUGAAUAAUGUUAUUUUAUUAAAAUAUAAAUAUACAUUUAACUGAAUUCAAAGGUACGAUAGAGUUCACCUAAUUAAAAAUCUUUUUGGAAAACAAUUUUUAAAAUAUUAUAAUAAUUAAGUUUUAAAUUUAUAAAUUUCUUAAAAGUACACAAAAAAUUGUUUUUAAAAACGGAAGGUUAUCUCAGAUUUUGUCCAAAUUCAAAGGUGAUAGGAUUAAGGGUGCAGUUUGGAUAAAUCCAUCAGAUGAAAUUGAAUUUUCGAAUGAAAUUGAAUUUAAAAAUCUAAUUCAAUAAAAUCAUUCAUCACGUCAAAGUGACAUAUAGGCGGGUCACUCGCCUAUUUAUUUAUUUAUUUUAUUUUUUAAUAGAUUAAUAGAUUUUUUUAUAUUUUUUAUUUAUUUUUUUAAAAAAUUUAAGUAUAUUUUUAAUAAAUUUUACUUUAAAAAAUAUUGCAUAUAUUCACAAAUAAAUGUAUAAAAUAAAACCAUCAAGAAUUGGAAUUAUUAGAAUUAGCUAAAAUGACAAUUAAAAGUCUAAAAUCAUCCAAAAGUUUCAACUAAAAUAGAAUCAUCAAUAAGAGUUCCAAAAUUAUAAUUCAAGUAUUAAUCUUCAACCAACUAAAAUAAAUAUUUUUGAGUUUUUGAUAACUAAGAUUAACCAUUAAGCAAUCAGAAUAAAUAUUUUUAAGAACAAAAAAACAUAAUAAGUAUUAAGUAUAAAAUCAAAGUUUACCGAUUCAAAUUACAUAACAUUUUUUUAAAACUGAAAAGUAGACUGUUUUUCAAAGUUGACUAUUUUUUAAAUAGUUUUUUUCAACGGGUGGCAGGUCAACCCAUCCCGUUAUAUCUUCAGCUUGCGAAUUUUUUCGCUUUGGCGGGGCUGACUGAACAGAUAUGCGGGUCCAAAAUCUCAACCCAACCCAUCAUUUUUUUGACGGUGCGCGGGCAGGCUCUGUGGGCCACGAUCUGUUUUGCCACCCAUAAUCUCAACUAAGUGGUGGAAACCUCAUAGAUUUUGGAAAUGUGUUUUCAAACGCAUCUUGAUCACACCAAAACACGUCCUAACCGAGUCUCGUCCCAUUUCCCCCCAACAUUUAAUUCAGAAAUGUAUCUUCAGACCCACUCCAUCAUUGUUUUCCUAAAUUAACAACUUAAUGACAAAUUCGAACAUACACAUCCAAAUUUGUGAAGCGUGAAUUUGAAAAUAUGUUACAUUUGCAUGCCAGCUGCAAUUUUGGAAAUGCAUUUCCGAUUUUGUCAAACGAGAUUUUUAAUAAAACAGGACCUUGCAUGCUCUUCAUGAUCAAACAUCUAUUUUCUUAUAAAACCCUUUCAUCCUCGAACAAAUUUUGCACUCCAAAACUUCAUUAUUUUGUUUCAUCACAUCAAAAGGAGAAAAAGAAGUUGUAAUUUAAGGUAAGGUCAUGUAUUACAUUCCUCAUUGCUCACAUUAAUCUGGCUUUUGAGCUGAAAAAGUUGCAUUGCUUCCAGAAAUGCAUUUCUCGAUUCUAGGUGAGUUAAUACGAAAGUGCAUUUCCGGAAUAGUUCAGAGUUCAUUUCAUACGGUUUAUUUUAUUAUUUUCUAUUAUUUUUUGCCUUAGAUAUGAUGCGCCCUAAUGUUAUCCACAAACCUAUACUUAUUGUGUCUACAUAUGCCAAACGUGUUGAUGCCAAUGAGGUAUAUAUUGGCAACCAAUUCACAAAUGGACAAGAGUUUGAGGUUCGUGGUCAUAUGCUCCAAUUGAUUCGCACAAAGGCAUCCAAGUUGGGGUUUGGUGUUGUAAUCAGAAGACUCGAUAAUGGUUUUGAUAGAAGACUUGCAUUUGUGACACUGAGAUGCGAAAGAAGAAGUGGCAGGUACAUAACUCUUCUCCAAAAGUUCAAACAAGAUGACACUGGUUCGAGAAAAUGUGAGUGUCUCUUUAAGUUGUGUGGUUAUCUUUUAGAAAAUAAUAAAUGGAGAUUUAAUGAGAUUUGUGGUUUACAUAACCAUGACAUGUGUGACAAGUUAUUAAGUCACCUCAUUACAUGUUACCUUGUGCUUGGAGAGAAGGAAAUCAUUUUGGACAUGACAUUAAAUAUCGUGCAGUCUAAAAACAUACUUAUUGAAAUGUAAAAGACCCGAAAAUAUAUCAAAUAUCAAGCAAGUAUACAAUAUUUGUGUCCUUAAUAACAAUGCGUUAAAUGGGAUUAUAGCUGAAAUGAAACAACUACUGAAACUUCUGAAUGAUAAUAAUUAUGUAUCUGGGUACUGAACAUGCGAGGAUGGAGUAACCGUUCGAGAUAUACUUUGGACUCAUCCUGAUUCCAUAAAGUUGUUCAAAAUGUUUCCCAAUGUACUCAUCAUUGAUUCAACUUAUAAGACCAAUAAGUACAAGCUUCCAUUAUCGGAAAUUAUUGGUGUUACCUCUACCGAGAAGACUUAUUAUGUUGGGUUUGCAUUUUUGGAGAGAAAAAAGAAAGGAAAACGUUACUUGGCUUUAUAAGUGUGUCAGACAAUGUUGAAGGACAAAGAAAACACGCCAAAGUUCAUUGUCUUUGAUCGCGAUGGUGCAUUGAUGAAUUCAGCUGCAAAGGUAUUUCCUACUUCAUACGCAUUACUUUAUAGGUAUCACAUAAUAAAGAAUGUGAGAAUUUGAGUUAAACCUGUGGUAGGGACCAAACAAAUAAAUUGUGAAGAGUGAAAAAUGGUCAAAGCUAGCGUGAUAGUGGAAAGAAUAAUGGAUGCAUGAAAUAUUAUAAUAAAUUAUUCUAUGGAAGAAUUAUAUGUUGAUGUUGUUAUACUUUUUAGAUGGUGUUGAGAAAUAUCUAGAAUUGUUAAAAUAUGUUGAAAGUAUAAUUUUGGACUAGGUAAAAGAGAAGAUUGUUUGUGCUUGGACUGAUUAGGUUAGACACCAUGGAAAUAUAACAACUAAAAGAGUUAAGUUUGCAUAUGCUACUGUAAAGAAUUUGUUGGGAAAAUGAAAGGGUGAUUUGUGUAGAGAUUGAGACUAUAUAAACCAAAUGAUCCAAAAUCAACAUAAUAAGAUACAAAUGUCAUUUGCUUGUAGCAUCACACUGUUGGAACACGGAUUAGAAAACAACUUCUAUUCACAGUUCGCCGAUAACAUAUCUUGAGAAGGAUUAAAAUUUUAUUUUUCACGAAACCAAAUGAGCUGAGAAUGUAGGUUCUGAUAGCUCAAAGUGUGGUUACACAGUUAGAAAAUUGUAUGGUCUCCCAUAUGAUUGUCUAACUUCAAAGAAGGUGAAACAUGAUAGCCUAUUACGAAUGGAUGAGGUUUGUACUCACUAGAAAAUGCCUAGGUUUGAUAAAGAUGGUGUGAUGAAGGACGAUAAAUCAAAUAUAUUUAUCUUGACAGUAUGGGAAGUGGUACAAUAAAGAUUUUUGAAAGCUGAUGACAAAAUGAAACUCCACAUCAAAGAGAAAAUAAGGAAGAUUUCUUAUCUAGAAACCACAUAUUUGAACCACAGUCUCAAUAAUAAAAAGAAAAGGUGAUCGUAAGAAGGUCAAACCGAUAUCGAGUGACAAUUCAACAAUGCGGUCACCUUCUUAUUUUGAACAUAUUUGGAAACUUUUUCCGGAUUCUCUAACUUCAAUGUCUUUAAAAAGUGUUUUCAAAAGAGCUCGCAUUAGCAAACCACCUCUUUCACCACCUUUACCAAAAAUCCAAUUCAUCGACGAGAUGCUACUUUUUAUGCAUAAAUACAUAAUGGAUCAUCAAUGUUGAGGGUGACAAUAAUUGUAGUUUUCCCACCAACAACUUAUCAAAGAGUUGAAGGGCGAUAAAGAAUCAUACACAUGACUAUACAGGAAAAAAAGAAAAAAUUGAUGCAAUUCAUGAAUCUCUUAUUCCUUGCAUUAUUGGACCAGUGUCGAAAGAAAAAUGGAUGCACUUCCUUGAAAUGUGGGUUAUUUUAUAGCAAUGCGUAUAAUAAGGUGGUAUUGAUCUGACAAGAUACAGUUUUUGGGAAACAAUUUUCCAUUGCACACUGUUCGACCUCAAAAUCCAACUGAUCCUAUUAUGUGUAUUUUAUGGCUUUCAAAAUCAUGGCACUUUUUUCAAAUAAAAACUUAGGUGAGCACUCACACUUGUGCUAGGGUUUUGAACAACAGAACUGCAAAGUCCAAGUGGGUUGCAAAGGCUGUGGUUAAUUAGAUGCAAACUUGUGAAAAUGUUAGGAUUGUUGACAUCAUUUAAGACAUGAGGAAUACUUGCUCAAUUGGGAUUACACCAAGUAGGGCAUGGAAGGCCAAGGAAAUUGCAAAGGUAAUUGUUGAAGGAGAUGCAUCUAGACGAUAUGGAUUGAUUUAGAGGUAUGCAUCUGAGAUGAAAAAAGUAUAUGUUGGGAAUACUACGAAGAUUAGUGUAAUAGACCCAAUCCUUCAAUUCAACCAAGUUUUGGAUCCUUCUACUUUUGCUUUGAUGGAUGAAAAUGAGGUUUCAACAAUGGAUGUAGACCAUUUAUUGGUGUUGAUUGUUGUCACUUGAAGACAACUUAUGGUGGACAAUUGUUAAUAGUUGCAGGAAGGGACCCAAAUGACCAAUAUUUUCCAUUGGCAUUUGGGGUAGUUGAAAUAGAAACCAAAGAAAGUUGGAGAUGGUUUUUACAACUGUUAAUGAAGGUGAAGGUGGUUCAAUAUUGAGGAGAGUUGGUGUGACAUACAAGUGCACCAAAUGUGAUAAGAUGGGUCAUACCUCAAGAAAGUGCAAGGAAAAAAUUCAUAGCCUAGAAGCUUUGAAAAGAAAGGUACCAAUUCACUUGGUUAUGUUGUUGGCAUAUAUUAUGUACUUAGAUAAAUUGACUUGUUAUGUUACAUUGUAGACAAAGACUCCUAGAGACUAUGCAAAGAAAGAAAAAAGUGAUCCUGCAACCGAGACAUAACCUGCAGAUGGUGCUCCUGCUCCUACAACUGACACCCAACCUGCAGAUGGUGAUCCUACAACUAACAACCAACUUGCAGAUGAUGAUCAUGCAACUGAGAGACAACCUAAUGUUGAUGUUGAUGACAUAUUUUACAAUGAGUUUGGUACUCAACAUGCAACUGAGACACAACCUUCUACAACUUCUAAACCUACUACAACUUUUAAAUUUGCUGAAAAGGCUAAACCUAAUGCAAAGUCUCUACAUGUGAAGAAAAAUCGUAUAAAGAAGGUUAACUCUCCUCUAUACAUGAGAACAAGUGACAUGUUGAGAACAUUGAAGACCAAAGCAAUUAAAGGUCUAAGAGCAUCUAAUAAUGAACCAUUCAUGAUCCCUGGGGAUGAGGAGGGCACAUUGACACAAGAACCAGCUGUGGUGGCACCAAACCCUAGGCCAGGGACAUGUUUCAAGACAUUGAGAUAAUGGAAUGAUAUUUCUAGGAGAUUUUCACAAUGAUAUGUCCAUGUCAAUUGCACAUUGUGUGCUUUUUCGUAAUGUUUGACAGUUCUAUUGUAUGGUUUAACUUUCAUUUUGGCAGUUGCACCUUGUGUGAUUUUUUGUAAUGUUUGACAGUUCCAUUGUAUGAUUUAUGUUUCAUUUUGACAGUUGCAUAUUGUGUGCCUUUUGGUAAUGUUUGUAAUGACAUUUUCACAUUAAAGGGAUUAUUCUAAUGACUUGUUUUCCUAUUAUAACUGUUGCAUAUUACUUUAUGUCUCAAAUAACAGUCUCAUUCAUUCAUUAAACCAAACAUUACAAUUACGAGGAAAUUGAAAUGCUCUCAUACCAAAGUUACAUUGCAAUUGAUACAUUAUAUACCUAAUGAACAAUUACAUCAUAUUGAAGACAAUAAAAAACAACAUCCAUGAGAUAAUCAUGGCAACAAUCAACCAAUAACUUUUGUUCCUUUCAUUUUGUAACAUCUUCUUUAUUUUUUUCAAGUUUUCUUAUGCAUUAAUCUUUUUCAUAAUCCUUCCCAAAUUCAUUUUCAAACUCCUUGCCAAACUCUCUCAUAUAACUAAACAUAUAUUCAUAGUGGUGCGAUCAGCCUCUAAAAUUUUGUCAACUUCCUUAUUUCUAAAUUUCAAGUCCAUUUGAUCAAGUCCAUCAUCCUAUAUAAACAUAUCAUAACGUAUAUUAGCUUACAAUUACAAACAAAUGAUAACUUCGAAUUUGGGGAAUAACGACUUUUGUUUAAUACACUGUAACAUACAAUUUCAAUUUUUUUCCCUUUUUCCAAUUCCUGCAUCUCCAGAACUUGCUCUUAGGAUUUUUCGUCGUAUUCGAUACCCAAACCUUCAUGAAUACAUUACGAUAACAUCUUGGUGUUUGACUUCCACUCGAAGUACAAAUUGAGGAAUUUCACCUAUCUAUCAUUUGGAAACCCUAAUUCAACUUCUUCAUGUUUCAUGGGCAGCUUAUUGACAAAUGAAGGAAAUGGAUUGUUGCGGUUGAAAAAGAAUAUGCAUUUCAUAUGGAUGGAAGAAAAAGGUGUUAUCGUGAAGAACGAAUGGAAGAAGAAGAAUGCGUGGAAGAAGAUGAUGAUUGUGAACCAAUUAAAUAAAUCAAAAUUGGAUAUUUUUUCUGACGAGGCAUUAUUAAGUCCAUGUGUCAAUGAAAAAAAUUGAAAAUCAAAAUAUAUUGGCCACCAAGCUUGUCACAUAAGAUCCUUUAGUGGAUCUUUUCACUAAAAGGUUUAAACAAACAAAAUAUUCAAUUGGUAAGGUUGGUUUCACCCAAAAAAAAUACAUGGGGGAAAAUCAGAAGUCGCCUAUAUGGCAGGGGAAAUGCUAAUAACCCUAAAAAGUAAUGGUAUAAAAGAAACAAGGUGAUAUUAUUCUAUAUAAACAUUGAUAUUGCUCCUCAAGUUGGACUAUGGGUAGAAUAUAAACCCAACUUGGACAAUAUAGUAAAAAAAGGCUAGAAAAUUUCAGGGCUUGGGUAAAAACAUCAACUAGUUGAGAGAUGCUUGGUACAAGGAGUAAGUGGAUGAGCUUAGAUUGAAGCUUCUCACAAAUAAUGUGACAAUCCAUCUUAUUGUGUUUACUUCUCUCAUGGAAAGUGGGAUUAUGGGCCAAGUAAAUGGCAAAUCUGCUGUCACAAUGAACAUAAGCUGGAACAUGAAAACCAAUUAUAAAAUCUUUGAACAAAUAUUAUAACCAUUAAAUUCCACAAGUCAAAGAAGCCAAGACCGUGUAUUCAGUGGAAGAUCUUGAGAAAUUAUUUUACUUCUUUGAUUUCCAAGAGAUCGGUGAAGAGCCAAGAAGCACACAAAAGCAUGUGAUAGACUUUCUUGUUUCAAAGCAUCAUGUCCAGUCUGAAUCAACAAAGCCAGACAAUUUUAGUGAACUAGAAGAAGGGAAGAAGAUACCUUUUGCAGGGGAAGAUUUGAGGUACUUUAGAAUGCGUGUGAUAGCUUCAUAAUGAUGAAUAAGUGGUUUUGAUACAAACUGACCCAGGUACUGCACUGAGAAGGAAAUAUCAUGCCUAGUAUUUAUCAAAUAGAGAAGCCUCCAAAUGAGUCUUAUAUAAGAGGAAGGAUCUCCCAAACGUAAUCCUUCACUGCCAGACAAAUUUGGUAGUAGGAUUAAAAGGAAUGUAGAAGGAUUAGUAGCAAAGAAACUCGUGUCUUCCAACAAUUCAAGAGUAUAUUUUCUUUGAUUAACAAAAAUACCACUAUCAGAUCUAGCAAUCUAUAGACCUAAAAAGUAUCUCAGUUUGCCUAGGUCUUUAAUUCUAAAUUUCAGGUCCAAAUACUUUUUAACAUAUUGAAUUUUAUGAGAAUAACUUCCAGCUAAUACUAUUUCGUCAACAGUAAAACGAUCAUUAGUGGAUUUUGUGUAGAGAGAUUGAUCAUAUUGAGUAUGCAUGUAUCCUAAAGAUAUUAAGGAAGCAUAGAGUUUAUGUUACCAUUAUCGACUAGCUUGUUUCAAGCCAUAUAGUGAUGAGAUACUCAGAGGGUAGACAUGUAAACCUCCUCAAUUAAAUCCUCAUAAAGAAAUGCUUUGUUGACAUCCAAUUGUUCAAGAUGUCAACCCUUAACAAAGGCUAAAGUCAAUAAAACUCUAAUACUAGGGAUUUUAACAACCGGAGAAAAAGUAUCAAAAUAAUACACUCUUUCCAUUUGUCCUUUUGGAACUAGUCGAGAUUUAUACCACUCAAUUGAAGAAAUGCUUCUUUAUUAUUAUUUUAUUGCUUUUGUGUUAUCAACUUGCUACUUCAUGUACUAUCUGAUUUUAUUUUUUACAAUGACCAAUCUUUACCUAUAUAUUUUUCUUUAAAUUUUCCUGCCGAAUUAAAUUAUAAUAUUUAUUUCUCUUAAAUUAGUCAUCUAAUAAAAGAUUAUUUUACUAACUAACAUAAAUUCAAGAAAUAUGAAAAAAAAAUACUUAAUGGUUCAUAAAAAUAGAAUCUUUGACAAUUAACUCUAAAUCAAUAGAAUCAAACAUACUUAGAUUCAGAUGGAUAUAAUCAUAUAGAUUAUCAAAUUUUGUAAAAAAAUAUUUAAAUAAAACUUAUAGAAUGCGAUGCAAUUAAUACAAGCAUUCCAAAAUCUUUUUUCAAUAUCUCUCCCAUCAAUCAGUUAAAUAAAAUUUAUAGAAUGCAAUGCAAAAACAAGCACUCUAUGAAAAGCUAAACCUUUAACAGAUCACAUAUGUCUUAACCGAACAAGUUAAUGAUGGUAAUAUAAUGUGAUCAUAGAAUAUAACAUGUAAUGCAAAUGUAAGCAUAAUCACUAAAUAUUGCAAUAUUUCAACCUUAAUAACAACAUAAAUGUUUUAAACACAUUUAAAUUUGAAUUCCAACAUCCUUUAAGGUAUAUACCUAAUAUAUUUUCAAGAAACCCCACCACAACAUCAUUUAUUGUUUUAAACGUUUGCAUAACCUUAAUAACAACAUAAAUGUUUUAAACACAUUUAAAUUUGAAUUCCAACAUCCUUUAAGGUAUAUACCUAAUAUAUUUUCAAGAAACCCCACCACAACAUCAUUUAUUGUUUUAAACGUUUGCAUAGAUUAUAAUUCAUCCACACUAGAAUAUAUUAAAUACUAAAGUAUAUUAAAUAUUGAAGGAGACGCGCGCACAAAUAUAUUAGAAAAUUAUAAGAUUAUAAAUUUGUAGUAAAUUAUCAAUUUGAAAUACAUAAAAAGAGGUCAAUUUCUAAAUACUUGUAAUUAUAAUGCAAUCGAUAAUAUACAAUAAAUCACGAUGUUGUUAUGAAUUGUGCUUCCAAUAUCCACUCUCCGUAAAGUCAUUCAUGAUGAACCCUAAUUCGAUCUUGAGGGUAGCAAAUCGUUUCAAAGGUAGUGCUGAAGUACACCCGAUAGUAAUAACAAUUUUCGAAAAAAAAUCUCUCACUAGUGAUUUCACCUAACCACCAACCAUCGUUAUCAAAAACGUCCACUCUUUGGUUGAGAUGAAAUUCAUGUGGAUGACGAACACGUGGUGGUAAUGGACGGAGUUCUCUUGAAUAAAUCAUCUCUGUGAGAGGUCCAGACUCAUCAUCUAACAAGAGAUUCUUGUAACGAAUCACAUAUUUUCCAUUUUGAAGACACGAAAUAAUUAUGGCAUUGUAGUAUGAACCCACAAACCCUUCUUCUCUACUGCAUACUUCCACUUUGUCCCCAACAUUGUAGUUGAUUCUUCUCAUGGGUGGACGCAUGGACGCAUGAUUGAACUAAAAUAAGAACUUAAAUGAGAGAGAUACUGAGAGAAGAGAGAGAAAGAGAGAGAUGUAAGUAGUUUUUGUGUGUAUGAAACAAUAUAUAAUAUGUUUUUAUAUAGUUGAGGAAUUAAGUGUUUGUGUUUAGAUUUAGAUUUUCUUUUAAAGAUAAUUGUAAUCAUUAGUGUGAUUAGGUGGUUGAGAUUUUAUUUUCAGUAAUUAAUUGUAUAAAAUAGAUUUAUACCAUUUAUUGCAUUUGAAUUAAGAUUUUUAAUAGUUUGAUUUUAUUCAUUCAAGAGAUUGACGAAUUUAAUUUUUGACUAUCCGUUGUUUUUUUAAUUUAUAUUAAAGAAUAAUAGUACUUUUUAUAUGAUUUGUUUUAGUAUAUGUAGAUAUAACUUUUUGACCACCUUCAAAUGUGCUACAACUUUUCUGACUAUCCAAUUUUAAUAACUUUCUUUAACUUUCUUUUUAUAUAACAUGAAUAGCUAUUUCCUAUAAGAUAUGUAUAAAUUGAAAAUAAUGUUUUUUUAAUAUAUAAAUAUACUUAUUAGAUUUUUUUUUUAAUUUUAUGAUUUAAUAAACAAUUAUUCACCUUAAUAACAACAUAAAUGUUUUAAACACAUUUAAAUUUGAAUUCCAACAUCCUUUAAGGUAUAUACCUAAUAUAUUUUCAAGAAACCCCACCACAACAUCAUUUAUUGUUUUAAACGUUUGCAUAAAUUAUAAUUCAUCCACACUAGAAUAUAUUAAAUACUAAAAUAUAUUAAAUAUUGAAGGAGACGCGCACACAAAUAUAUUAGAUAAUUAUAAGACUAUAAAUUUGUAGUAAAUUAUCAAUUUGAAAUACAUAAAAUGAGGUCAAUUUCUAAAUACUUGUAAUUAUAAUGCAAUCGAUCUGAUAUCUUGAUAAACAAUCAAUCACGAUGUUGUUAUGAAUUGUGCUUCCAAUAUCCACUCUCCGUAAAGCCAUUCAUGAUGAACCCUAAUUCGAUCUUGAGGGUAACAAAUCGUUUCAAAGGUAGUGUUGAAGUACACCCGAUAGUAAUAACAAUUUUCAAAACAAAAUCUCUCACUAGUGAUUUCACCUAACCACCAACCAUCGUUAUCAAAAACGUCCACUCUUUGGUUGAGAUGAAAUUCAUGUGGAUGGCGAACACGUGGUGGUGAUGGACGGAGUUCUCUUGAAUAAAUCAUCUCUAUGAGAGGUCCAGACUCAUCAUCUAACAAGAGAUUCUUGUAACGAAUCACAUAUUUUCCAUUUUGAAGACACGAAAUAAUUGUGGCAUUGUAGUAUGAACCGACAAACCCUUCUUCUCUACUGCAUACUUCCACUUUGUCUCCGACAUUGUAGUUGAUUCUUCUCAUGGGUGGACGCAUGAUUGAACUAAAAUAAGAAUCUAAAUGAGAGAUAGUGAGAGAGAGAGAUAUGUAAGUAGUUUUUGUGUGUAUGAAACAAUACAUAAUAUGUUUUUAUAUAGUUGAGGAAUCAAGUGUUUGUGUUUAGAUUUAGAUUUAGAUUUAGAUUUUCUUUUAAAGAUAAUUGUAAUUAUUAAUGUGAUUAGGUGGUUGAUAUUUUAUUUUCAGUAAUUAAUUGUAUAAAAUAGAUUUAUACCAUUUAUUGCAUUUGAAUUAAGAUUUUUAAUAGUUUGAUUUUAUUCAUUCAAGAGAUUGACGAAUUUAAUUUUUGACUAUCCGUUGUUUUUUUAAUUUAUAUUAAAAAAUAAUAGUACUUUUUAUAUGAUUUGUUUUAGUAUAUGUAGAUAUAACUUUUUGACUACCUUCAAAUGUGCUACAACUUUUUUGACUAUCCAAUUUUACUAACUUUCUUUGACUUUCUUUUUAUAUAACAUGAAUAGCUAUUUCCUAUAAGAUACGUAUAAAUUGAAAAUAAUGUUUUUUUAAUAUAUAAAUAUACUUAUUAGAUUUUUUUUUAAUUUUAUGAUUUAAUAAACAAUUAUUCUACAUUACACAAAAUUAAAUUGAUAGAUGAGAAGAUGAGAAGAUUUUUUUUUAAUUUUAUGAUUUAAUAAACAAUUAUUCAAAUGCUUUUCUUUUCUUUCAGAAUUGAAUAGUACUCCCUCCGUUCCUUUUUAAGUGUUAUUUUUUGACUUUUUACACAUACCAAGAAAAUUAAUCAUUAUUGUUACUUUUCAAACAAUAAUUCUUCUUUUACCUAUAAUACCCUUAAUUAUUUAUUAGAUUCACUUUAUUUUUUCUUUCUCUGCAAUCAUUAUCUAGGGAUAAUUUUGACAAAAUUACAAUUAAUACUACCUUGAACUUUGCAAGUGACAAUUAAAAAGAAACAACUUUUUUUUAUAAAAAGUGACACUUAUAAAGGAACGGAGGGAGUACUAUGGAUGCUAUUGAGAUUGUUAAGAGAAGAGGCUAUUAUAAGCUUUGAAUUGAGUGUGAUAGUAAAAAUGUUUUGUUUGCUUUUUCUAAAUUCAGCAUAAUUUCUUGGAGGAUUAGAAACAGAUGACUUCUUUGCUCUAUAUAGGUUUUAUGAUUUUGCAUGCUUUUAGAGGUGCUUGUAACAAAAAAAAUUAAUAAUUAAAAUACAGUUGCAUACUAGUAUAAUCUUAUUUGUGAAAACUUUAACUUUCUCCAAUGUUUUCAUGCUCAGAAUUUUAGAAAUGAAAAAGCAAAAUUAAUAUUUAAAUAAAUUGUUUAGUAGUCAUCAUUAGUUUUGGUUAGCACUGAUAGAUAACUCCGACAAAAUUGAUUUAAGUUUUGAUUUAUUUUAAAAUAAAAUAAUAUUAAAAAAUGGCAUAAUAUUGAAUAAUGUUAUUUUAUUAAAAUAUAAAUAUACAUUUAACUGAAUUCAAAGGUACGAUAGUGUUCACCUAAUUAAAAAACUUUUUGGAAAACAAUUUUUAAAAUAUUACAAUAAUUAAGUUUUAAAUUUAUAAAUUUCUUAAAUGUACAAAAAAAUUGUUUUUAAAAACGGAAGGUUCUCUCAGAUUUUGUCCAAAUUCAAAGAUGAUAGGAUUAAGGGUGCAGCUUGGAUAAAUCCAUCAAAUGAAAUUGAAUUUUCGAAUGAAAUUGAAUUUAAAAAUCUAAUUCAAUAAAAUCAUUCAUCACGUCAAAGUGACGUAUAGGCGGGUUGCCCGCCUAUUUUUUUUUUUUUAUCUUUUAAUAGAUUAAUAGAUUUUUAUAUAUUUUUAUUUAUUUAUUAUUUAUUUUUUAAAAAAUUUAGAAUAUAUUUUUAAUAAAUUUUAUUUUAAAAGAUAUUGUAUAUAUUCACAAAUAAAUGUAUAAAAUAAAACCAUCAAGAAUUGGAAUUAUUAGAAUUAGCUAAAAUGACAAUUAAAAGUCUAAAAUCAUCCAAAAAUUUCAACUAAAAUAGAAUCAUCAACAAGAGUUCAAAAACUAUAGUUCAAGUAUUAAUCUUCAACCAACUAAAAUAAAUAUUUUGAGUUUUUGAUAACUAGGAUUAACCAUCAUGCAACCAGAAUAAAUAUUUUUAAGAACAAAAAAACAUAAUAAGUAUUAAGUAUAAAAUCAAAGUUUACCGAUUCAAAUUACAUAACUUUUUUUUAACUGAAAAGUAGACUGUUUUUCAAAGUUGACUAUUUUUUAAAUAGUUUUUUUCAACGGGUGGCAGGUCAACCCGUCCUGUUAUAACUUCAGUUUGCGAAUUUUUCCGUUUUAGCGGGGCAAACUGAACAGAUAUGCGGGUCCAAAAUCUCAACCCAGUCCGUCAUUUUUUUGUUCGUGCGCGGGCCGGCCCUGCGGACCACAAACUGUUUUGCCACCCAUAAUCUCAACUAAGUGGUGGAAAAGUAUUUUAUGGAAAUCCAAAAAUACCUCCCAGAUUUUGAAAAUGCGUUUUCAAACGCAUCCUGAUCACACCAAAACACGUCCUAACUGAGUCUCGCCCCAUUUUCCCCAAACAUUUAAUUCAGAAAUGUAUCUCUAGACCCACUCCAUCAUUGUUUUCUUAAUUUAACAACUCAAUGACAAAUUUGAACAUACACAUCCAAAUUUGUGAAGCGUGAAUUUGAAAACAUGUCACAUUUGCAUGCCAACUACAAUUUUGGAAAUGCAUCUCUAAUUUUGUCAAACGAGAUUUUUAAUAAAACAGGACCUUGCAUGCUCUUCUUCUUCAUGAUCAAACAUUUAUUUUCUUACAAAACCCUUAGAAAAACCCUUUCAUCCUCAAACAAAUUUUGCACUCCAAAACUUCAUUAUUUUUUUUCAUCACAUCAAAAGGAGAAAAAGAAGUUGGAAUUUAAGGUAAGAUUAUAUAUUACAUUCCUCAUUGCUCACAUUAAUCUGGUUUUUGAGCUGAAAAAGUUGCAUUGCUUCCAGAAAUGCAUUUCUCGAUUCUAGAUGAGUUAAUACGGAAGUGCAUUUUCGGAAUAGUUCAGAGUUCAUUUCAUACGGUUUAUUUUAUUAUUUUCUAUUAUUGUUUGCCUUAGAUAUGAUGCACCCUAAUGUUAUCCACAAACCUAUACUUAUUGUCUCUAUAUAUGCCAAACGUGUUGAUGUCAAUGAGGUAGAUAUUGGCAACCAAUUCACAAAUGGACAAGAGUUUGAGGUUCAUGGUCAUAUGCUCCAAUUGAUUCGUACAAAGUUAUCCAAAUUGGGGAUUGGUGUUGUAAUCGGAAGACCCGAUAAUGGUUUUGAUAGAAGACUUGCAUUUGUGACAAUGAGAUGGGAAAGAAGUGGUAAGUACAUAACUCUUCUCCAAAAGUUCAAACAAGAUGACACUGGUUCGAGAAAAUGUGAGUGUCCCUUUAAGUUGUGUGGUUAUCUUUUGGAAAAUAAUAAAUGGAGAUUUAAUGAGAUUUGUGGUUUACAUAACCAUGACAUGUGUGACAAGUUAUUCGGUCACCUCAUUGCAUGUUACCUUGUGCCUGGAGAGAAGGAAAUCAUUUUGGACAUGACAUUAAAUAUGGUGCAGUCCAAAAACAUACUUAUUGAAAUGUAAAAGACCCGAAAAUAUAUCAAAUAUCAAGCAAGUAUACAAUAUUUGUGUCCUUAAUAACAAGGUGUUAAAUGGGACUAUAGCUGAAAUGAAACAACUGCUGAAACUUCUGAAUGAUAAUAAUUAUGUAUCUAGGUACUGAACAUGCGAGGAUGGAGUAACCGUUCGAGAUAUAUUUUGGACUCAUCCUGAUUCCAUAAAGUUGUUCAAAAUGUUUCCCAAUGUACUCAUCAUUGAUUCAACUUAUAAGACCAACAAGUACAAGCUUCCAUUAUCGGAAAUUAUUGGUGUUACCUCUACCGAGAAGACUUAUUAUGUUGGGUUUGCAUUUUUGGAGAGAAAGAAAAAGGAAAAGAUUACUUGGCUUUAUAAGUGUGUCAGACAAUGUUGAAGGACAAAGAAAACAUGCCAAAGUUCAUUGUCUCUGAUCGCAAUGGUGCAUUGAUGAAUUCGGCUGCAAAGGUAUUUCCUACUUCAUACGCAUUACUUUACAGGUAUCACAUCAUAAAGAAUGUGAGAAUUCGAGUUAAACUUGCGGUAGGGACCAAACAAAUAAAUGGUGAAGACUGAAAAAUGGUCAAAGCUAGCGUGAUAGUGGAAAGAAUAAUGGAUGCAUGAAAUAUUAUAAUAAAUUAUUCUAUGGAAGAAUUAUAUGUUGAUGUUGUUAUACUUUUUAGAUGGUGUGUGAGAAAUAUCUAGAAUUGUUAAAAUAUGUUGAAAGUAUAAUUUUGGACCAUGUGAAAGAGAAGAUUGUUUGUGCUUGGACUGAUCAGGUUAGACACCAUGGAAAUAUAACAACUAACAGAGUUGAGUUUGCAUAUGCUAUUGUGAAGAAUUUGUUGGGAAAAUGAAAGGGUUAUUUGUAUAGAGAUUGAGACUUUAUAAACCAAAUUAUCCAAAAUCAAUAUACUAAGGUACAAACGUCAUUUGGUCGUAGCAUCACACUGUUGGAACACAAAUUAGAAAACAAUUUAUGUUCAUAGUUCGUCUGAUAACAUAUCUCGAGAAGGAUUGAAUUUUAUUUUUCACGAAACCAAAUAAGCUGAGAAUGUAGGUUCUGAUAGCUUAAAGUGUGGUUACACAGUUAAAAAAAAUGUAUGGUCUCCCAUAUGAUUGUCUAACUUCAAAGAAGGUGAAACAUGAUAGCCUAUUACGAAUGGAUGAGGUUUGUACUCACUAGAAAAUGUUUAGGUUUGAUGAUGAUGAUGGUGUGAUGAGGGACGAUAAAUUGAAUAUAUUUAUCUUGACAUUAUGGGAAGCGGUACAAUAAAUAUUUUUGAAAGCUGAUGACAAAAUGAAACUCCACAUCAAAGAGAAAAUGGGAAAGAUUGCUUAUCUAGAAACCACAUAUUUGAAACCACGGUCUCAAUAAUAAAAAUAAAAGGUGAUCAAGAAGGUCAAACCAAUAUCGAGUGACAAUUCAACGAUACGGUCACCUUCUUAUUUUGAACAUAUUGGGAAACUUUUUCCGGACUCUUCAACUUUAAUGUCUUUAAAAAGUGUUUUCAAAAGAGCUCGCAUUAGCGAACCACCUCUUUCACCACCUUUACCAAAAAUCCAAUUCAUCGACGAGAUGCCACUUUUUAUUCAUAAAUACAUAAUGGAUCAUCAAUGUUGAAGGUGACAGUAAUUGCGGUUUUCCUGUAACACCCUUCUAAAAUACUCCAAUAAUUAAUUAAAACAACAAAAUAUGAAUCAGAGUAGAUAUGCAAUUUCAGGGUGUCACACUUGACACUUCACACCAAUCACCAAAUGACUUGUCAUGCUCAUUUAUUAAUCAAAAUAAAACAUUGCACAAUUCGCAGCGGAUAGAAAUCUAACAACAUUCGAACCAUGUAACACAUUACAUGUAAAAUUGUUCAACAACCAACAAUGAAAACAAAGUAAAACAUCCGUCCCGAUGUACAUAUACUAGAGCAUGACCCACUAAGGAACUACACUAGACUCCAAGCACUAGCUUCUACUCAAUCACUUCUCGUUACCUGAAACAUAGUUGUAAGGGUGAGUCCUCAAUCGAUAUAAUAAGCAUUAUAAGAUAUUAUGUAAUGUUAAGUAAAUUAACACAUUCAUCACCCUAAUCAUAUCACACAUUCAGCAACGGCAACAUCAACUCAUAAUCUACUCCACACAAUCACAAAACACACGUAUAAUAUUGGAAUACAUCCAUUCAUAUUAUACGCCAUACAUACAUUAUGAAAUGAGACUCCAUGCAUGCCAUCUCUGGUAUUCGUGAACACAUAGUUCAACCUCACCGAUCAAACCCAGAUACGGCUACCAAGCUCACUAGUCCCACUCAUUUGAGACCUAGUGACUCCCUCACUAAUUCCUCACCAUGGGAAUUAGCUACCACCAUAAAGGCUAUGCUAUGCACGCUAAAUCACCUAGCAUGCAAACAUCAACAACAAUCCACAAUGGACAUAUGCUCACACUCUAAGCCAUAAACAGUCCAUCCACAAUUGCAUACAUAAUAGAUAUAUUCACAGCAUUAUGCAUACCAUCAUACAUCAUCAGCAUAUUUAUCACAGAAUCAUAUCAUGUCAUGCCAAAUAAUAAAUCACAGUAUUAGCACACUCUACUAAUACCUAUACUGCUCAAAACAACGGGAAAUGAUCCCUACUAUAUCAUACAUGCAAUAUAUCAUUCACCAAUAUAGGCCAAUCAUCAAAUAUGUACACAUAAUUCCAUUCCAAAACGUACACAAUAUUUAAAUAUCAAUUUUUCACUUUUCCAACAGUGUUAACCGGUUAACGCCCUGGGUUAACCGGUUAACGCAACACAGAACACGCUUCCUGGCACAUUUUAACAGUGUUAACCGGUUAACGCCCUGGGUUAACCGGUUAACGCAAGACAGACAGCAAUUUCUCAUAAUUCAUAACAGUGUUAACCGGUUAACACCCUGGGUUAACCGGUUAACGCAAGACAGAAAGCUGUUCCUGCGCUAACACGAACAGAAUGCAGAAUUCCCCGCAUUUUUCGCCGUCGGAGGACUUCCGGACCUCCGAUUUCAAUUCCGUAAAAAGCUACACGUCCAGAAAUUUACGACUCACCCACAUAUAGAUUCAAUUACAGUUUUAACAUAACUUAUUCAUCACCAUUUACAGCAUUCAUCAUCCCAAUUAGGGUCAAUUCAAUGGCUUAUUACUACCCAUUACAUGUUAACCCAUAAUACCCAUUAAACGACGAUAAACCCCCCUUACCUGAGUUAAUCCGGCAAAUCCUUUAACUUCAAGCUUUUCCCUUCUUCAACCCUUGUUCUCUUGCUCUUCCUCUUUGCCCUUUUCUCACUUUCUGUCGCUUCUCUGGUUUUCACGUGAAAAACCCUUUUUACCAAAUGGAACUCUUUAUAUAUAUUCCAACUUUAUUAUUCCAAUAAUAAUAAUCCAAUAAUAUUCCAAUUAUUUAAUUAAAUUAAUAAAUAUACUAUUAACUUAAAUUAAAUAAUUAUCAUAUUUUAUCGGGGUGUUACAACUCUCCCCCACUAAAAGAGUUUUCGUCCUCGAAAACAUACCUCAAGCGAAUAACUCUGGAUAAGACUCCUUCAUCUGACUCUCAAGUUCCCAAGUCACAUUGCCACCUGCUGGUCCUCCCCAAGCUACCUUUACCAAAGCAAUCUCUUUACCCCGCAACUGCUUCAACUCUCGAUCCUCGAUCCUCAUAGGUGAUGUUUCAACAGUCAGGUUAUCUCUCACCUGUACAUCAUCUACUUGGACCACAUGCGACGGAUCAGGAAUGUACCUCCUCAACUGAGACACAUGAAAAACCUCAUGCAAAUUCGCAAGUGACGGCGGUAAAGCGAUACGAUAGGCUACCUCCCCUAUCCUCUCCAAAAUCUGAUAAGGACCAAUAAAUCGAGGUGUCAACUUCUUCGACUUCAAAGCUCGACCAACCCCAGUUAUCGGAGUAACACGAAGAAACACAUGAUCUCCCUCUUGAAACUCAAGUGACUUCCUCCUCUUGUCGUGAUAACUCUUCUGACGACUCUGAGCAAUCCUCAUCUUCUCCUGAAUCAUCUUAAUCUUUUCCGUAGUUUGUUGAACAAUCUCCGGUCCAACCACAGCACUCUCACCGGACUCAUACCAACAUAAAGGUGUCCGACAUCUCCUACCAUACAAAGCUUCAAACGGUGCCAUACCAAUGCUCGAAUGAAAACUAUUGUUGUAGGUAAACUCAAUCAAAGGUAAAUAACAAUCCCAAGCACCUCCCUUUUCCAAAACACAAGCCCUCAAAAGAUCCUCCAGUGACUGAAUCGUCCUCUCAGUCUGACCAUCAGUCUGCGGAUGAUAUGCAGAACUCAAUCUCAGCUUAGUUCCCAAAGCCCUCUGCAAACCUUCCCAGAACUUCGAUGUAAAUCUAGGAUCUCUGUCCGAAACAAUACUCGACGGAAUACCAUGCAAACUUACAAUUUUCUCAAUAUACAACUCAGCUAAUCUCUCUAACGGAUAAUCCAUUCUGAUCGGAAUGAAAUGAGCCGAUUUUGUCAAUCUGUCAACAAUCACCCAAAUAGCUUCAAAAUUCUUAAUUGUCCUCGGUAAACCAGAAACAAAAUCCAUACUGAUACUAUCCCACUUCCACUCUGGAAUAGCCAACGGUUGCAUUAGCCCAGACGGCUUCUGAUGCUCAAUCUUUGACUUCUGACAAGUCAAACAAGAAUAAACAAAACUCGCAAUUUCUCUUUUCAUUCCCGGCCACCAAAAUAACUUUUUCAAAUCAUGAUACAUCUUCGUAGCCCCAGGAUGAAUACUCAGGCCACUACGAUGUCCUUCCUCAAGAAUACUCUUCUUAAGUUCGGUAACAUCCGGAAUACACACCCGAUUACCAAAUUUCAAAACACCAUUCUCAUCAACUCUGAAUUCACCACCUUGACCUUGAUUCACUAGAGUCAACUUAUCAACCAAAAGCACAUCGGAUUUCUGACCCUCUCUAAUCUCAUCCAGAAUACCACUCGUUAACUUCAACAUUCCCAAUUUAACACUAUUGUGAGUACUCUCACACACCAAACUCAAGUCUCUAAACUGCUCAAUUAAAUCCAAUUCCUUAACCAUUAACAUAGACAUAUGCAAUGAUUUCCGACUCAAUGCAUCAGCCACUACGUUUGCUUUACCCGGAUGGUAAUUCAAACCAAAGUCAUAAUCCUUCAGAAACUCUAACCAUCUCCUCUGUCUCAUAUUCAGCUCUUUCUGAUCAAACAAAUACUUUAAACUUUUAUGGUCACUGAAAACCUCAAAUCUUGACCCGUACAAGUAAUGCCUCCAUAACUUCAGAACAAAUACCACAGCUGCCAACUCUAAAUCGUGUGUCGGAUAGUUCCUCUCAUGAACCUUCAGUUGUCUCGAAGCAUAAGCUACAACCUGCUUAUUCUGCAUCAAAACACCACCCAAACCCAACAAUGAAGCAUCACAGUAAACCUCAAAUGGUUCCGACGGACUUGGUAAUAUCAGAAUAGGAGCAGUAGUUAACCUUCUCUUUAACUCUUGGAAACCUUCUUCACAUUUUGAGUCCCAAACAAACGCUUGCCCCUUUCUAGUCAACAUCGUCAACGGUAACGCCAACUUAGAAAAUCCCUCAAUGAAUUUCCUAUAAUAACCUGCAAGUCCAAGAAAACUCCUUAUCUCAGAAACUGACUUCGGAGCUUCCCACUUAGAUACCGCUUCUAUCUUAGAAGGAUCAACAGCAACACCACCUCUUGAAACCACAUGACCAAGAAAACUAACCUCUUCUAACCAAAAUUCACACUUGGACAGUUUAGCAAAUAACUUCUUUUCUCGUAGAACUCCUAAAACCACUCUCAAAUGUUCAGCAUGCUCUUCUUCAGAUUUCGAAUACACCAAAAUAUCGUCAAUAAACACCACAACAAACUUGUCUAGGUACGGAUGGAAAAUCCUAUUCAUAUACUCCAUAAAUACUCCAGGCGCAUUAGUCACACCAAAAGGCAUUACAGAAUACUCAUAAUGUCCAUACCUUGUUCUGAAAGCAGUCUUCUGAAUAUCCUCAGUUUUCACACGUAUCUGAUGAUACCCCGAUCUCAAAUCUAUUUUGCUGAACACACUCGCACCAACCAACUGAUCCAUCAAAUCAUCAAUCCUCGGCAAAGGAUACCGAUUCUUGAUCGUCACUUUAUUCAGUUGCCUGUAGUCCACACACAACCUCAUAGUACCUUCUUUCUUCUUAACCAAUAACACUGGUGCACCCCACGGUGACACACUCGGACGAAUAAAUUUCUUAUCCAACAGAUCUUCCAGCUGACUCUUCAAUUCAGUUAACUCAACAGCAGACAUACGGUACGGAGCCAUCGAUAUCGGCCUAGUACCAGGUACCAAAUCAAUCGAGAACUCAACUUCACGCUCUGGCGGUAAUUCAUUCACUUCUUCAGGAAACACAUCAGGAAAAUCACACACCACGGCUAGAUCGCAAAUCACCAGUUUAUCUUUAGCCUCCAAAGUCGCUAACAGCAUAAACAACUCUGCCCCAUCUGCUACUGCCUCAUUCACCUGCCUUGCUGAUAGAAACAAACUCUUUCCUUCCUCAAUCUCAGGAAAGAUCACAGUCUUAUCAAAACAAUUGAUAUAAACUCGGUUAAACACCAACCAGUUCAUACCCAGGAUAACAUCAAUCUGCACUAGUGGAAGACACACGAGGUCCAUCCCAAAGUCUCUACCAAAAAUACUCAAAGGACAAUUUAAACAAACUGAAGUAGUAGUCACUGAACCCUUCGCAGGAGUAUCAAUCACCAUACUCCCAUGCAUCUCAGAUAUCUCUAAUUUAAGUUUCACAGCACAAUCCAAAGAUAUAAAGGAAUGAGUCGCACCUGUGUCAAUAAUAGCUACAAGAGGAAAGCCAUUAAUAUAACACGUACCUCGGAUCAAACGAUCAUCUGCAGAAGUCUCAGAACCCGAUAAAGCAAAGACCUUGCCUCCCGACUGGUUCUCUUUCUUCGGCUUAGGACACUGUGGACUGAUAUGACCCACCUCUCCACAGUUGAAACAAGUCAUAGUCUUCAACCGGCACUCUGCAGCCAAGUGACCACCUUUGCCACACUUGAAACACUUCUUCUCAGUACUGGUACACUCAUGGAUACGAUGUCCAGCCUGACCACAUCUGUAACACUUAGCAGGGGCACUGGAGUCUCCCCCACUAGGUCUCUUCAUCCCACUCUGUCUCUGGAAACCUUUGCCAGCUGCAUACGGUUUCCCACGAUCAUUCUGAUUCUUGCCUUUCCUAUCAACCCUCUGCUGAUAGCUCUCCGCUCUGGCCUUGGUAUCCUGUUCAAAAAUCCUGCAACAGUCAACCAAGUCAGAAAACACUCUAAUCCGCUGAUACCCAAUAGCCUGCUUGAUCUCGGGACGUAACCCGUUCUCAAACUUCACACAUUUUGAAAAUUCCCCAGUAGCCUCAUCAUAGGGAGUGUAAUACUUCGACAGCUCUGUGAACUUAGCAGCAUACUCAGUAACAGACCGGUUGCCCUGCUUCAAUUCUAAGAACUCUAUCUCUUUCUUUCCUCUGACAUCCUCUGGAAAGUACUUCCUCAGGAAUCUCUCUCUGAACACCGCCCAAGUGAUCUCAGCACUCCCAGCAGCUUCCAACUCAGUGCGGGCAGCAACCCACCAAUCAUCUGCUUCCUCUGACAGCAUAUGCGUACCGAACCUGACCUUCUGGUUAUCGGCACACUCAGUCACUCGGAAGAUCCUCUCGAUCUCCUUCAACCACUUCUGAGCACCAUCUGGAUCGUAUGCUCCCUUGAACAUUGGAGGAUUGUUCUUCUGGAACUCACUCAGUUGACGAGCAGCUCCCAAUCCCACAACAUUCGGAUUCCCUCCAAGUACUCCAGCUAGCAUACCCAGAGCCUCAGCAAUCGCAGCAUCGUCUCUACCUCUUCCAGCCAUCUCUAUUCUGAGAACCCAACAAGCUAAAACAAUAAGUACUGAUAGGGUUACACAACACCUAUCACAUACAGGGAAACAGAAUAAUUACGACUCGACUCGACCGACUAUGCUCUGAUACCACUAAUGUAACACCCUUCUAAAAUACCCCAAUAAUUAAUUAAAACAACAACAUAUGAAUCAGAGUAGAUAUGCAAUUUCAGGUGUCACACUUGACACUUCACACCAAUCACCAAAUAACUUGUCAUGCUCAUUUAUUAAUCAAAAUAAACAUUGCACAAUUCGCAGCGGAUAGAAAUCUAACAACAUUCGAACCAUGUAACACAUUACAUGUUUAAAUUGUUCAACAACCAACAAUGAAACAAAGGUACAUCCCGUCCCGAUUUUACAUAUACUAGGCAUGACCCACUAAGGAACUACACUAGCUCCAAGCACUAGCUUCUACUCAAUCACUUCUCGUUACCUGAAACAUAGUUGUAAGGGUGAGUUCCUCCAUCGAUAUAAUAAGCAUUAUAAGAUACAUGUAAUGUUAAGUAAAUAACACAUUCAUCACCCUAAUCUAUCACACAUUCAGCAACGGCAACAUCAACUCAUAAUCAUACUCCACACAAUCACAAAACACACGUAUAAUAUUGAAUACAUCCAUUCAUAUUAUACGCCAUACAUACAUUAUUAAUGAGACUCCAUGCAUGCGGUACCGACUAUUCGUGAACACAAGUUCAACCUCACCGAUCAAACCCAGAUACGGCUACCAAGCUCACUAGUCCCACUCAUUUGAGACCUAGUGACUCACUCACUAAUUCCUCACCAUGGAAUUAGCUACCACCAUAAAGGCCAGCUAUGCACGCUAAAUCACCUAGCAUACAAACAUCAACAACAAUCCACAAUGGAACUAUGCUCACACUCUAAGCCAUAACAACUCACUAAUUCCUCACCAUGGGAAUUAGCUACCACCAUAAAGACCAUGUUAUGCACGCUAAAUCACCUAGCAUACAAACAUCAACAACAAUCCACAAUGGACAUAUGCUCACACUCUAAGCCAUAAACAGUCCAUCCACAAUUGCAUACAUAAAUGAUAUAUUCACAGCAUUAUGCAUACCAUCAUACAUCAUCAGCAUAUUUAUCACAGAAUCAUAUCAUGUCAUGCCAAAUAAUAAAUCACAGUAUUAGUACACUCUAUACAUAUACUGCUCAAAACAACGGGAAAUGAUCCCUACUAUAUCAUACAUCAGCUAAAUUACACACUCAGCUGAAACGACCAAAACUGCAACACACACAGCUCAGAAAAUCAACUUCUGCCCAUACAAUAUGUACACAAUAUUUAAAUAUCAAUUUUUCACUUUUCAAACAGUGUUAACCGGUUAACGCCCUGGGUAAUCGGUUAACGCAAAACAGAAUGCGCUUGGCAUUUUAACAGUUUACGGUUAACACCCUGGGUUAACCGGUUAACGCAAGACAGAAAUUAAUUAUUUUAAUUAUCAUAACAGUGUUACCGGUUAACACCCUGGGUUAACCGGUUAACGCAAGACAGAAAGCUGUUCCUGCGCUAACACGAAACAGAAUGCAGAUUUCCCCGCAUUUUUCGCGUUGGAGGACUUCGGACCUCGAUUUCGAUUCCGUAAAAAGCUACACUUCCAGGAAGUUACGACUCAUCAAAUAUAGGUUCAUUCACUUUUAACGUAAUUUAUUCAUCACAUAUCAAGGGUAUUUCUCAAAACCUAAUUAGAGUCAAUCAAUGGCUUAUUACUACCCAUUACAUGUUAACCCAUAAUACCCAUUAAACGACGAUAAACCCCCUUACCUGAGUUAAUCCGGCAAUGGAUUCUUUGACCUUCAAACAUCGUGAAUUCUCCUCUUGAGCCCUAGCCUCUUCUUCUCCUUUCUCAGUUUCUUCUCUUUUCUCCCAUUAUACGUGUUCUCUGCUUUCACGUAUAAAAACCCUUUUUCUAAAUGGGACUCUUUACUGAUUCCAACAAUCGUUCCAUUCCAAUUUUUAUAUUCCAAUAAUAAUAUCCAAUAAUAUUCCAAUUAUUUAUUAAUUAAUAAGUAUGACUAAUAAUAAUAUAUAUGAAUGGUUUAUCUUUUAUUUUGAAAAAUAAUACCCUCUCAUUCAUAUUAUCAUCAUAAUAUACUAUUAAACUUAAAUUAAAUAAUUAUCAUAUUUUAUCGGGGUGUUACAUUUCCGACCAACAACUUAUCAAAGAGUUGAAGGGCGAUAAAGAAUCAUACACAUGACUAUACAGGAAAAAAAGAAAAAUUUUAUGCAAUUCAUGAAUCUCUUAUUCCUUGCAUUAGUGGACCAACGUCGGAAGAAAAAUGGAUGCACUUCUUUGAAAUGUUGGUCAUCUUAUAGAAAUGCGUAUAAUAAGGUGGUAUUGAUCUGACAAGAUACAGUUUCUGGGAAACAAUUUUCCAUUGCACACUGUUCGACCUUAAAAUCCAACUGAUCAUAUUAUGUGUAUUUGAUGACUUUCAAAAUCGUGACACUUUUUUCAAGUUUAUUUGAAAUUAGGAUCCCUUAUACCACUGACAUCAGCGGAGUGGACAACUCAUUCAACAAGGUAAGCUGAGACUUGGCCGAAUCAUAUUUUUGGAAAGGAUGCAAGAAUUCACCAAGUUGAACGAUAUUGAAAGAGAAUCAAAUAAACAAAAGUCAAAGGCGGAACCACCAAUAAAUAUAAAUUUAUCCUGUGAUACAUGUUUUAAUUCAUUUUAGUUUUUAUUCGACGAUGAAUUUAUGUGGUUAGACAUGUUUUGUACAUAAUGUUGCAUGAAUAUUAAUGAUAUCAAAUAUAUACAUUUUCAUAUGUUUCAAUCUUUGUUUCAGUUUCCAAAAUAUUUCUCCAUUUUCUAUUCUAAAAUAGGCUAUGGUUCUCAAAUUGGUUUUGUGUGAACAAUUUUGGGUGCACCGGGAAAUGCAUUUCCGCAUUCACCCUAAAUAUUUUAAGAAAAAGGAAAAUAGGGAUUUAUUUGCAAUGCAAUUUGAGAUGCACCCUAAUUUCACAAAUUUUACACAAUAAAAUAGGGUGUAUUCAGAAGUACAUCUCUGGAAUAUUUCUUGUGACAAGAUUGAAUUUCUAAGGUCUAUAUUCGGAAGUAUAAAGAUGAAUGCUUCAACAAUGUGAAUGCUUCACUUGAAUUUAGGGUCAUUGAGUACACCUCUCUUGUAGAUCUGAAAUCUAUAUUGGAAAAUCUCCUAGAAUAGUUAGACAAUCAAAAAGUUGUCAAACUAGGGUAUCAUUCACCCUCGAUUUACAAAGAAGGAAACAUUAAAUUCAACAAGUUUAAGGAUUGUGUGGAGUAUAUUUCACCGUUAUAAAACAAAAGGUUCGAUCGUGCUGGAUGCAAAAAUUAUGAGAUCCACCGAAGAUAUUUUGGAGAUGUUGAAACAUCCUACUUGAUGAUGAAAUGUAUUGUUCGAUUUACAUUAACGAUUACAUAUGUAACGUUUCAUUUUUUAUGUAUGUCAACAAUUAUCGAUGUUAAUUUAUCUUUGUUUCUGCAUAUGUUUUGUUUAUGCAUUUGUUUCUGGUUCAUUAGAAUCCAGAAAUACACUUUCGUAAGGUACGCGAAUAUGCAUUUGUAGAUUAAAUUUAGUCAUAGAAUAGGGGCGUGACUCAAAAAUAAGUUAAUUGUGUGUGCAUGUGGUGCGUCUGAAGAAGCAUUUCUGAAUUCUAGGCGUAGUUUUGGUUAGGGUGGGGAAGCAAUACUUAGGAUGUAUAAAACAAUCCAUUUUUGAGAAAUCUCUUGAAGUUUUACCGAAUUUUUGCAAAGAUUUGGAAAUCUCUUGAAUUUUUACUAGGUUUUUUGCAAAGAUCCGAAAACAUUUUGCAGUUUUAACGGAUUUAUUUUUAGGAAAAAUCCGGAAUUUUUUUGAAGUAUUUCCAGAUUUUUAGUAAAAGCUCAGAAACAUUAUGAAGUUUUACUGCAUUUUUAGGGAAAAUCUAGAAUUUGCAACAUUCUAACAUUGUUAUUACCAGAUAUUUCAAAGAAUCCGAGAAAUUUUGUUGUAUACCAGAUUUUUUUGGAAAAUUCAGUAUACCAGAUUUUUUGCAUAAACCUAAAAAUUUGGUAGUUCAAUAUGCUUCAAUUGUGCGGUCAUGGUCCUGAUGGUUCCCUUAUGGAUUUUACUUAGUUUUGCACCACUCACGUGGUAUGUUUUACAUAAAUAUUUACUUUUUAACUAGUCCAAAUAGGUUUAUGAUAUCUCUGACAUUGAUAGUUUAUUUUGUAUAUGUUAUAAAUGUCAUAUAUUUUCCUCCCGGGUUUACGUUUUGGCAUGGGUACAGUUUGUUGUUAAACAACAUGGAAUUAUUGUUGCUUUAAAUAGACACAAAAUGAUUGCAGUUAGUUAUGUUAACAGCAAUCAUUGAGAUCAGGUGAAGUUGAAACUCAAUUGUUCUUUGCCUCCCGUCAGAGACCGAUGGAGACAGAAUAAUAGUGAAGUUGCAAGAGCAUGAGAAUCAACAUAUGUGAGAUGUAUUAGGCACUAGGAAGAAGAAGCUAGAAAGUCGACAUGAUUUGUUUUGUAAUGAUAUUAUAGCACUUUUGAAUUAUAUGUAUAUGUUUUAUCUAGUAUAGUUUGCUAAAAAUGUUUUAAAAAAUAAUAUUUUUUCAAUAAUUUCAUUACUGCUUACACGAUUUUUCAAAAAUUCUAGAAAAUUUGGUGGGUACAAGAAUUCUCAAAAAGAUCUGGUAGGUUUUAUAUGUUACCAGUUCUUUCCAAAUAUCCGGUAAUUUUGUUCCGGAUUUUUCAAAUAUCUGAUAUUUCUUCAUCAUUUUUCCCGAAUUCCUUGAAUUUUAACCGACAAUUUGCAAAAUGCUUGGUAUUUCUGGAUACUUUUGCGAAAUAUCUGAUACAGUUGUGAAAUAUCUGAAAAUUAUUCAUCCAAACGUAAAAAAUUACGAAAAAAAUUUGAUAUUUGCGUUAAAAAUCUGGUAUUCAUCUAAACAUUUCGAAAAACCAUAAAUUUUUAGUAAGGGUAAAAGCGUAAUCGCAACCCCAUGUAUGGGUGUCAGGUUAAAAUUGGGGGUGGAAGGAAGAAAUCUCCCCCUUUUGACUUAAUAAUAAAGCCCAACAUAGUUCAAUGAAGCCAAAUAGAUUCCUUAAAACUGAAAAUCCAACAGCAAUAACGGUUAACUUUUCAACCAAGCCAACUAGUGCAUACUUGGAAGAGAUUAUUUUCAUGUUCCAGAGACAACGUUACUAAUAACAAAUUCAAGCAAAUCAAACAUGACUAGAAAACCACGUUCAUCAUCAUCAGAAUCUGCUUCAUAUUAUCCCUUCAUUGUUUCCAAACCCAAAUAUCCAAAUAGAAUUCAGAAGAAAAAAAAAAAUAAUUGGAAGAAGAAGAAGAUGAUGACAAUAGUAAUUACAGUGAUGUAGAUGUUGUUGAUUUUGAAUACAAUAGUAAACCAAAGGAAGAAGAUGAUCACCAACAGUCUGAGUAUGAAACAGAAAAAUAUGAAGAAAACAAAGAAGACAAUGAUGAUGAUGAUGGUGAUGUCGUUUCUGAAUCUAAUUCAUUGCUUGGUGACCCAUCUUUUUCGAAAGAAGCUCUGGUGAUGUUAUAGAAAGCCCUUAAAAUUCUUCUUCUAAUGUCCUUAUUCCACCACAAACCGUGAACGCAUCUUCAUACAUAAAAGUCACUCAUUUACCUGUUUUCUGUGGCACUUUAAACGAAUCCCCAAUAACCCAUUUGAGUCGUUUCAACAAAGUAUGCAUGGAGAACAACACAUCCUCCACUGAAAUGCAAAAGAGUAUCUUCCCCGUCACACUUGAAGAAGAAAUUGUGUUAUGGUAUGACCUCAACAUUAAGAUUUACUACCUUUCCCUUUCAUGGGAGGAAAUCAAGUUAUCAUUUUUGCAAGCAUAUUACGAAAUUGAACCGGUUGAGGAGUUAAAUUCGGAGCUUAUUGGGAUUCAUCAAGGUGAGAAGGAACAUGUUAGAUCCUACUUUUUGAAACUUUAAUGGAUUUUGAAGCGGUGGGCGGAACAUGGGUUAGAGAAUGAUGUUAUCAAAGGGGUAUUUGUGAAUGGAUUUAAGGAAUAGUUUGGUGAUUGGAUUCUCAUACAAAAACCAAAUUCUUUGAAUGAUUCAUUUGAAUUUACCUUUGAUUUUGAGCAUGUGACAAGGAUUAGGGGAAAUAGGGAAAUGGUUUUUACUUGUGGGUUUUGUGAGAGGCCGCAUGAAGAGAGUAGUUGUAGGGUUAUGGAAAGGAUGAGAGCAUUAUGGAGACAUAGUGGGAAGAAAGGGGACAUCGAUAUGGCUGCUAAGGAUCUUUUGAAAUAGUUUUCUAUGGGAGAAAGUAUUGGUAUGAGGAAGAUUUAAAUUAAUGAGGUUGAAAGGUGUUUACUUGUAAUUCCUUGUGUCGAAGCAGGUUGUUCGACAGAAGUAAGGAAAUGUUGAACUUUGUAAAUGUUGAAAUGUCAAAGCAUGCUACUCGACAGAGAUUUCGACUUAGGUUUUUUUUAAAACGAUAGUUAGUUUGUUAGAGAUUGCUUGAGGAGAAAGAAGUCUAAUUCUAUAAAUAGGGAGGUGCCCUAUUGUUGAUUGCAACAUAGUUAUGUGAAUAAAACUUCAGUUAGAAGUGCAGAGAGAAACUCUGCAGAAUUUCAUCUUCUUCUCUCAAUAAAACCUAAUUCUUUUCAUCCCCAAAUUAAAUUCUUUUUUCUUCUUUCAUUAUCUAUAUGCAGCGAAACCUUGCAACCAAAGUAUGGUUGAUUCACUCAAGUGAAUAGUGAAGAACAAGAGGAGUAAUCAAUCAGAAAGAUUGAUUAUGUUUAUCAAGAUUUGGUUCAGAAUUCAUAAAGUUUUGGUGAAAUUCUUGAGCGAGAAUUGGAGAAUUUUCAACAUCUGGUAUCUAGAGCACUGGCUGAGCGAGUUAUGGAAAGCAAAACACGAUGGUGUUGAAUCAUACAAAUGGAUAUUUUCCGGCGAGUCUCCCAAUUCUGAAGAAUCAAAAUUAUGAGAAUUGGUGUAAACAGAUGAAGGUUGUUUUCUGUUGUCAAGAUAUUUGGGAUCUUGUGAAGGAGGGAGUAACACCACUCGAAUAAAAUGCAACGGAUAAAGAAAAGGAUGCACACAAAGAAUUAAAGAAGAAAGAUUAUAAAUAUCUCUCUAUAGUUCAUUAUGUGUUGAUCCAGACAAUUUCAAAAAGUUGAGUGAUGUUGAAUCAGCAAAAGAAGCAUGGGAAAUUCUGAAGAAAUCGUUUGGAGGCGUUGAGAAGGUGAAAGAGGUGAGGCUAUAAACUCAUAAAAAAAGCAUAUAAAUUGCUUUAGAUGAAAAAAGUGAAAGCAUAACUGAUUUUUUCACUAGGGUUAUGAAACUGGUGAAUCAAAUCAAGGUAUGUGGAGUGGUGUUAACAUCAAGAUCGGUUGUUGCAAAGAUCUUGAGGUCAUUGGCUCCAAAGCUUGAACACAUGGAUGUAUCCAUGAAAGAGUCGAAAAAUUUAUAAACAUUGACAAAGUAAGAGCUUCAAGUGACACUUGAAUAUCAUGAACAAAGAAUGGCUGAAAGAGCUGCAAGCAAGUCGAAGAGUGAUAUGGCUUUGCAGGUGCAAUCAAUAAGAAAAAAGAAAGACAAAGGGAAGUGGUUUGACAAUAAAGGUAGAAGAGGCUACAACAAUUCAACUGGUAAAGGAAACCAACAAGAAGGAAAUUUUUCGAGCCAGAGAAGACCCUCAUACCAAAGUAACCAAAGAGGACGUGUUGCUGGUAGAUGAAGAGGUGGUGGUCAAAAACCUGACAAAAGUCACAUUCGGUGUUUGAAUUGUCAGAAGAAUGGUCACUUCUCUAAUGAUUAUCCUGAAAAGCAAAAGAAUCAAAAAAAUGAUGCAAAGUUUGCAAAGCAUGAAGAAGAAGAGAUGUUACUGAUGGCCACAACAAGAGAUGAAGAAAGAUUCUAGGACCAAUGGUACUUUGAAUCAGGAUGCUCAUCACACGUGACUGGUAGAUAAUAUUGGGUUGUCAAUAUAAAACCUUCAAUGAAGAACAUGGUAAAAUUUCCAAAUGAUAAUACUCUAGUGGUUGAAGGUAUUUGUGAUGUUUUAAUUAUGAGGAAAGAUGGAAAAAGAUCAGCAAUUUCCAAUGUAUUGUACAUACCAGACAUGAAAAGUAAUUUGCUUAGCAUAUGAUAGUUGGUCGAAAAGAACUACAAAAUGUCGAUUAAAGACAAGAUGAUAUGAGUUCUCGACUCAGGUGGAAGGUUAAUCUUGAAGGAACCUAUAUCUCAUAAUAGUACCUUUAGGAUUGAACUUAAUGUGAUGGAGCUUAAGUGCCUUACAACUACAUCUAGCAGGGAUGAGUGGAUAUGGCACUAUAGACUUAGCCAUCUUAAUAUCAAAGACAUCAAAGAUCUGAAAAGAAAAAAUAUGGUUUCAUGGCUACCAAAAAUAUACAUUCCAAAUGAAGUGAGUGAGGAAUGUGUGCAGGCGAAGCAACACAAGAACAACUUCAGCAAGAAUGCAGGAAGCAAAUCGAAGGCAAUUCUUGAAACAAUAUACUCUGAUGUAUGUGGUCCUAUCUGAGUGGAUUCAAUUGGAGGUAAUAGAUACUUUAUCACAUUCAUAGAUGAUUUCAAUCGAAAAAAUGUAGACUUACCUGAUCAACAAUAAAAUUGAAGUGAUCGAGGGUAUUUGCCAAGUCUAAAUCUAUGGUUGAAAGACAAAGUGGUUGAAAGCUUAAGAUUAUAAGGACUAAUGGUGGCAGAAAAUAUGUGUCGAAAGACUUCAACACAUUAUUUGAGAAAGAAUGGAUUAUGCACGAGGUGGUGGCACCCUACACUUCACAACAAAAUGGAAUUGUAGAAAGAAAGAAUAGAACCAUCAUUAAUAUGGUGAGAAGUAUGUUGAAAGGCGAGCAUCUAUCCAAGGAACUAUGGGGAGAAGUUAUGUCGACUGCAACAUACAUCCUGAAUAGAUGUCCGAUGAAAAGGCUAGAAGGAAUCACGCCAGGGGAAUGUUGGUCUGGUGUCAAGCCUAGCUUUAGUCAUCUGAAAAAGUAUUUGAAUCCAUAACACAUAGACGUGUGACUGGUCAGUUGAGAAGAAAACUUGAUGACAAGUCGAGUCAGACGAUCCUAACAGGAUAUCAUUCGAUUUGAGAUUACAAGUUGUUCGACCCAGUGAACAAGCAAGUAGUGAUCAGCAGGGACGUGAUCAUAGAUGAGCCUAAGAAAUGGGAUUGGACUGAAAAUGUCAAGAAAUAUUCAUUGAGAAUCUUAUGUGAAGAACCAACAAGUGAAUUUGAAAGAGAAGUUCGACAAGAAGAAGUCAGAGGUCAAGCAAGCAUAAGAAGACUUCAGAGGACAAGACACAUGCCGGCAAGGUCGCAAGAAUGUGUGAUUAAAUUAUAUGAUAUGGUCGAUGAUGAAGGUGAGUUGGUACAAUAUGCUUUCUAUGCAGAUUUUGAACCGGUCAAUGCAAUUGAGUCAUUGAAGGAUUCAAAGUGGGUGAAAGCAAUGAAUAAGGGACUGAAGUCCAUCAAAGUCAAUAAUACUUGGUCACUUGUCAAAUUGCCUCAAAGCAAAAAGGAAAUCAAUGUAAAAUGGGUAUACAAAGUGAAAUUGAAUCCCAAAGGAGAAGUAACUCAACACAAGGAAAUACUUGUGGAGAAAGGAUUUCUUCAGAAAGAAGGAAUCGACUUCAAUGAAGUUUUUGCACCUAUUGCUAGGAUCGAAACAAUUAGGUUGGUUAUUGGUCUAACAAGCAUGAACAAAUGGCACAUAUCUCAUAUGGAUGUGAAUUGUACAUUCCGGAAUGACCCCUUAGAUGAAGAAGUUUAUGUUGCACAACUAGUUGGGUUUAUGAAAUAUGGCGAAGAAAGUAAGGUAUACAGACUACAUAAAACCUUGUAUGCACUUAAGCAAACUCCGAGAGCUUGGAAUAAAAAUAUAGACAAUUUCCUAAGGGAGAAAGAAUUUGUGAAAUUCAUAAUUGAGAAUGGAGUAUAUGCAAGAAGAAGCAAUAGUGAAUUAUUUAUAUUGUGUCUCUAUGUCGAUGGCUUGUUGAUAACGGGAAGUUGCAAGAAGGAGAUAGAAAAUUUCAAACAUGACUUAAAUAAGGAGUUUGAAAUGUCAGACUUAGGAUAUAUCUCAUACUUCCUUGGUGUCAAAUUCUACAUGAUUAGUAAAGGCUUGAUGAUGCACCAAAGAAGAUAUACAGGUGAAAACUCAAGAGAUUUGAGAUGCAAGACUGCAACUGCACUUCGACUUCAGCUACACCCAUAUUGCAAUUGUUGAAAGACACAGAUGAGGAUAAUUUCGACCCAACAUAAUACAUAAGACUUAUUGGGUCAUUGAGAUACCUUUGUCACACAAGGCCUAAUAUAAAAUACAUUGUAGGUAUGUUGGGUAGAUUCAUGUGGAAGCCAAAGGUAUCACAUCUAGUAGCGGCGAAGAAGAUACUAAGGUAUUUGAAAGGAACUCUCGACUAUGAAAUUUUGUUUCCUACAGCUGAUAAAGGAAAAAAUGCAAGCUAGUGGGCUACACCGACUCAAGUUGGUGUAGUGAUGUUGAAGAUAAAAAAAAUUCAUAUCUAUCUAUGUGUUUAUGCUAGGUGGUGCACCAGUUGCUUGGAGUUCGAGAAAAGAACCACUAGUAGAACUGUCAUCGUGUCGUGUGAAGCAAAGUAUACAGUUGUUUCUCUUUGUGCAUGUCAAGGAAUGUGGAUGGGGAAUUUGGUCAAAGAGAUUACAAUGAAGAAUCAUGGAGAUAUUACCAUGAAGAUCAAUAGCAUAUCUACUAUCAAUCUGGCGAAGAAUCCAACAGUUCAGGGACAAAGCAAGCAUAUCAAAAAAAGGUUCCAUUAUCUUCGAGAGCAAGUGGCAGAUAGAAAGGUAAACUUGGAACACUGCAGAACUAAGAAUUACAUUACAGACAUCAUGACGAAAGGAGUGGAGGUCGAAGUGUUCAAUAAAUUAAUGUCUAUGAUUAAUUUAAAUAACUUAGACACAAUGAAUUAGGUGAUGUGUUGAUUUGUAAUUCCUUGUGUCGAAGGAGGUUACUCGACAAAAACAAGGAAGUGUCAAACUGUGUAAAUGUCGAAAUGUCGAAGCAUGUUGCUCGACAGAGAUUUUAAAUUAGGUUUAUUUGUUUUAAAAGUUAGAUAGUUUGCUAUAUAUUAUUUGAGGAGCAAGCAAUCUCAGUCUAUAAAUAGGGAGGUACCCUAUUGUUGAUUGCAACAUAGUUGUGUGAAUAAAACUUCAAUUAGAAGUGCAAAGAGAAACUCUGCAGAAUUUGUUCUUUUUCUUCCUUCUUCUCUCGAUAAACCCUAUAUCUUUUCUUCCCCAAAUUCAAUUCUCUUUUAUUCUUUUAUUAUCUAGGUCCAGCGAAAUCUUGCAACCAAAGUAUGGUUGAUUCACUCAAGUGAAUAGUGAAGAACAAGAUGAGUAAUCAAUUAGAAAGAUUGAUUCUUGUUCAUCAAGAUUUGAUUCAAAAUUCAUCAAGUUUUGGUGAAAAUCUUGAGCGGGAAUUGGAGAAUUUGCAACAAAAAGGGCGGCGAGUCUUCGAAGUAUUUUUCCCAACAAUCCUUACACAACAAGGUGUACAAAAUUCUAAUUUUUAUUGUUAUUCAGUUCCUUAUCUCCCUUUGUAUUGUUUUUAUUUCUUGUUGAUUUUCACCUCUUGCCGGUUGAAAUAUUUGUUAAAGAGUAUUCUAGUAUAUACUUCUUCUAAGGAACAUUGAUGCAACUACACUUGGAGACUGCUAUUUUGAUGCCACAAAAUGUAAACUAAAAGGGAGAAGUUGAUAUUUCUGUUUUGAGUAUCUCAUAAGAUAAAUACAUUUUUCUAUGCUUAAAUUAGGAAAAUACACAUUAUUAAUGAAUCUUCCUCAUAAGUUGCCACAUACUUCAGUCCUGGUGAGCAUGUUAUUGAAUAUUUAGCAGUAAUGCAUUAUGUGCAACCAAAGUUGGCCUUAAGAAUCUAUGUUUUACUAGCAACAAAAGAAAGCAAGUAAAACAAAUAGACAAAUCAGAACAAUCCUUAUUUAUCAUCUUAGUGAAAGGAUUCAAAAUAAAAUUACUAGGCAUUUAAUUCAAAUAUGGUAUAUCCUAGAGUAGGCAUGGAAAUAUAACCCGUACCCGCGGAUACCCACCUGAACCCGCCCCGAAGUUGACGGGAAAAACCCGCUUUGAUUGGAUUCAAGUUUGGAUUUUCCCCGAUUAUAAAAUAUGGGACGAGUCGGGUAAUGGGGACACUAGUACCCACCCCGAACCCGUCCCGUUUAUUUUAUUAUGUACAUUAUUAUUUAUUUUUGAUAAUUUAGAAUAUUAAAUAUGUGGUCAAUGUUUUGAUAUUUUAAUUUGAAUUUAUUAUUUGAAAUAUUUGAAAUAUGGAAUUUCUUUAGAUUGUUUUAUUUUAUUAUUUGUAAUGUAGUUUUAUUUUGGAAAAAAUAAACAUUUCUAUUAAAAAAAUUGAUUUCACUAAAUGAAUGGUGACGGGGCGGGGAUACCCGAACCCGUUUGGGACGGGUUUGGGUUUUGAUUCUCCAUCCCCGUUUGGGUUUGGGACGGGGAACGGGGAUUGUUUGGGGAUUCGGGUUUGGGUUUGGGGAAGUAAAAAUUGUCUCCGACCCGCCCCGUUGCCAUGCCUAUCCUAGAGAAUAAUAUCCUGAUUCUCUAACUCACCUAACAUAUAUAAUACUGAUAUACUAUGAAGCAUUAGAUUCACUCUCUCUUUACAUCUUCAUAAUCCAAUUCUAACAUUAGUUAAAAGAAACAACACAAUAUAUUAUAGUUGAAAGAGAGAAAAGCAAGAGAAUGAUAGUCAUUUUUCAGCAUGAAGCGAGCGAAGAAAAAUCCACAAUUGAAGUGGAAGAGUGAAGAGCAUGAAUAUUGCUCCUCUUUCGUCUUGGAACCAUUUUCAUAAAUUUUUCCUACGCUUUAAAGUUUCAGGGAUAAUACAACUGAUUUCAUCUCUUAUAGUCUGGUGAUUGUAGCUUUGCGACUGCGAUUGAUUUACAACUCCAAGAUUCUAAUCAAAGGAAGCAGGAAACAAUCUCUGAUCAUUGUAGCAGUCAAAUUUUUGGAUUGAGGUGACACAGCACUCUUUCCAGUUGAGAUCGACGAGAUCUGCAAUUGCCACCUCUACAGUUAACUCAACAAACACAGAAACACUCUUGCUAGUUGAGAUCAACGAGAUCAAUGAAGAAUCAUUAAAGAACUGACAAGUUCUUCCAGAGUCGUAUUGUUCAAAUCUUUGAACACCUUAAGAGCAGUCACCACAAGUCUCCAUUUCUUUGGUAAGCUUCUGAUGAUCUUUUUCACAUGAUCUACAGUAGUGUAGUCUUUGUUUAAAACUUUUAAGCCAACUACAAAGCGUUUGAAACCUUGAGAACAUGUCCUGAAUAGUUUCACCAUAUUUCAUUUUGAAGGAUUCAUACUUUUGAAUCAAGGCCAAAAUCUUGAUUUCGUUUACUUGUUCGUUUCCUUCAUGAAUCAAAUAUAGACUUUGCAGAGUCUUUAUUUUUUAUCUUUUCAUACUUAGUGUAUGAGAUAACAUUCAACAAAAUGGUUCUUGACUUGUGAUGAAUUUUACUGUCUUUCUUUUGUUGGUCAUUCAUCCUGCUUCUUUUCAUUUUAGCACCAUUUGUAUCCAAGGGAUGUGUAUAGCCAUCUUUGAUCAUAUCCCAUAAGUUUGUAUCAUAACCAAGGAAGAAACUUUCGAUUUUAUCCUUCCAAUAAUUAAACUAAUCUCCAUCAAAGACUGAAGGUUUAGUAAAGUAGUGAUCUUUAUCAUUGUUAAUAGCUGCCAUAUUGUGUUUCAAAAAAUGGAUCUUUUACUGAUAUGGUUAAGUGUUUGAUAUACAAUAAUCAAUACUAGAAACGGAGCUCUAAUGUCAAUUGAAGGUUCAAGAAACAUAAGAAAGGGGGGCUUGAAUUGAGUUUUUAUAUUAAAAAAAAUUCGUUGCUCAAUAACACAAACAACAAAUAUUCAACAAAGAUAAAAGACACAAUUAUUUUUAUCCUGGUUCGCUGUUAACUAAGCCACGUCCAGUCCACCCGACAAAGUGAUUUCGCCUUCUUAAUAAGGACUUAAUUCACUUAUCAAAUAAUUGAUUACAAACUCAAAGAAAAUAUGUAUAAGACUUCUUAAGAAUCCUGACUAUAACCUAGUAUCUCAAGAUAUUUAACCAAAGGUUAAUAAUACAAAAUUUGUGUUUAUAAAGUGCUUCUAAAAAUAAACAUAUACACAAAUUAAAAUCAAAGAUAUUACAGUUAAGAAAUAUAUUCAAGAGAAUGUUCUAAGUGUAUGAAUGUGAUAUAGUUUUUAGUGUGAAACACUUUUCUUUUUCUUUCUCACAUAUGAGCGUUGUUCAAUGUGGUAACAUUUCCAAACCUUCAAGACCUCUUUAUAUAGAUGAAGAAUAGAUCCGUUGGAGGGUGAAAUUGGAAUAUCAUCAAUAACACAAUUGUAUGAGGUCACUUAUUUCUACAACGGUAAAGUGACGCUUGCAGCAUAGAGUAAGUGAAGAUGAAACGUGAGAAACGACGUUGGUACAAUAGUACCGUCUUUUUUCCUGAUCUUCAGGGUAGUGGAAAGAAUAUUUGCUUUUGUACUGAUUAUACUUUUACCACAUGUUUUUCUUUCGGUCAUUGACUUUUAACCAUUAACUUCUAGUUAGAGGCUUCGUAUUAAAGUUGAUGAAGCUUGAGUAAAGUUCAAAGUCUGUCUUUAGAAUCUGGUGAAAAUGAGACUUCAGAGUGUAUGGAUUUUAGAGUCCUGAGACUUCAGAGGCUUGAAUUUAUCAGAGUCUUUAUUAGAGUAAUUCUGGAUUGGAUAAUCCAGAUCAUUAACUUUCAUUUAAACACGUCUUUGAUUCUUUCUUUAGUUCAAAGUGUAUUUUCAGUUCAGAGUCCGGUGGUCUAGAGUUGACUUCUUCAAAAUUAGUAUCUAUUUUCUAUGAUCACACACUUAAUAAAAUAAUUAGAGUACAAAAUUGUUUUCUAUACAUAUUAUACUUUAUUAUUGUCAAAAAUCAAAGAUAGUUGCAGAAACAAACUUGUUCCAACAAUAUUGAGAUUUGUCUUUGAUUUUGAGCAUGUGAGAAGGAUGUGAGAAGGAUUCGGGGGAAAGAAGGAAAUGGAUUUUACUUGCGUAUUUUGUGAGGGGCCGCAUGAAGAGACUAGUUGUGAGGUUAGGAAAAGGAUGAGAGAAUUAUGGAGACAGAGUGGGAAGAAAGAGGCAAGUGAUAAGGCUGCUAAGGAUCUUUUGAUGUAGUUUUCUAUGGAAGAUUGAAAUGAUUGAGGGUGAAAAGGGUGGUGAAUCUUUGGUGGUGGGGUGAAUGAAAAAAGACCUGAGCCAAUACACAAAACAGAUGUGUUGGAAGAAAGCCCUUUCAAGGAAGAAGAGCCUUGAAUCUAGGAUUUCUUGUUAUCACCAAUAAAUUUGAAAAUAGUCUUCUACUUAAUUAGUGGGGAAAUUUGUACCAAAAGACAAAAUCAGCGGGGAAGUUGUUAAGGAAAAUUCUUUUAUAUAUUUCUUCAUCUAAGGAACAUUGGUGCAACUUCAUACAGAGGCUGCUUUUUUGAAGAUCGGUUUUUGGAUUACCAAUUAUGCAUAUAGGAUUUUGAAUUUGAAUCUUUACCAAUUAAGUUGCCACAGCAUGUAAACUAAAAGGGAGAAGCUGAUAUUUUUAUUUUGAGUAACUCAUAAUAUAAAUACACUUCUAUACUUAAAUUAGGAAAAUACACAUUAUUAUUGAAUCUUCCAUAAGUGGCUAAAUGCUUGAGUCCAACAUGGUGAACCUGUUAUUAAAUCUUUUGGCAGAAAUGCAUUAUUUGCAGAUGAGGCUAUGUCUUACUAGCAAGAACAAGAACAAAAAACAAUUACAACAAACAGAAAAAUCAGAACAAUCCUUAUUUAUCAUCUUAGUGAAAGAAUUCAAAGUAAAAUCACUAGGCAUUUUAUUCAAGUAUGGUAAAUCCUGGAGAAUAAUAUCCUGAUUCUCUAUCUCGCCAAACAUGUAUAAUACUGCUAUACUAUAAAGCAUUAAAUCCACUAUCUCUUUACAUCUUCCUAAUCCAAUUCUAACAUUGGUUAAAAGAAACUAUAACUAUAAGAGAGAAAAACAACAGAAUGAUAGUCAUUUUUUCAGCAUGAAGCGAGGGAAGCAGAAUCCACAAUUGAAGUGGAAGAGUGAAGAGCAUGAAUAUCGCUCCUCUUUCGCCUUGGCAUCAUUUUCAUAACUUCUGGCCUACGCUUUAAAGUUUCAGGGAUAAUACCACCGGUUUCAUCUCUUAUAGUCUGGUGAUUGUAGCUUUGCGACUGCGAGUGAUUCACAACUCCAAGAUUCUGAUCAGAGGAAGCAGGACACAGUCUCUGAUCAUUGCAGCGGCCGAAUUUCUGGAUAGAGGUGACACAACACUCUUGCCAGUUGAGAUCAGCGAGAUCUGCAAUUGCCUCCUCCACAGUCAAAUCAGCAAACGCAGAAACACUCUCGGAGAGCGUCGAUCGUGGUAGAUCAAGCAGAUCUAGCGUGUCCACAACAUCCAUCAACACUUUCUGCAAAUUAGAUCCAAAGCAGAUUUUGCAAAUUUCUAAAAAGGAAACUAUUCAUAGAAACUAUUACAACUAGAAUUCAUUCAUACCUUUGGAGCAUGGUGAAUUUUCUUGAAGCCGUGAAUACGGAUGACCUGGUGCAGUUGUAAGAAGUAAAAGAGAAGAAGAAUAUGAGUAUUGAAAAUUAGGUUUGAAUUGGUGUGAAUAGAAGGAAUGGAACCUGAUUGAGUUGAUUCAUGGUGAGAUCAAUGGCGUGACGAGAGUGAAGGAGAUGAAUGUAAUCGUCAAGGCAGAGCUUAUCUUUCUUGAGUGGUCGUUUCUUUGAGGAGAUUGUGUGUGCUGCUACCAUUUCCGUUCCAGUUGGUAAUUCUUCUGCCAUUGUUGCAAUCUCAGUUCAAACUGAAAAUGUAUGGAGGGAACCGCCUUUUAUACUCAGCGCGCUAUUUCACAAGUUUGUUACCGGUGCGUUUGUCGUUUAUCUCAUCCUCCUCACAUGACUAAUAUUUUAUUUUAUUUGGUUGUAGCUGUGAAAUUUUUUAUUUAUUUUUGGAAUAAGGAACUGUGUAAUUAUGAAUGCGAAAAAAAUACCAACUCCCUCACAUAUGAAUUUUUUAUAAAGUUUUAUUUUGAUGUCAAGGAGAUCUUCGGUCACAUUUAAACUCAUCGUACAUUAAGUAUUAAACAAGGAUUUGUGGAUAAAAAGCUAUGGUGGGGUUUUAUCCAAUCAAGGGUAUAUUAUUGGAAUUUCACAUGCUUUAUUAAAGAGGAAAAAAAAGUAUUUACACUUUAUAAAUAUGGAAGUUGUAUAGAAACAUUUUCAUAAUCCUUCUCCACCCAUGGUUUUAUGUAAUGAAGAUGUUGAAUUGUAAUUCCUUAUGUCGAAGUAGGUUGCUCCAUAGAGGAUUUUGACUUAGGUUUAUUUUAGUAGUGUUAAUUAUUUUGGACUUUUAUAGUUUUGAGUUUUAGAUUAGAAAAUAAGUUAACCUAAAUCUAUAAAUAGAGAGAGUAACCCCUAUUCUUGAAAGAAGAGAAAACUCAUAACAUUGUAUUCACUGAAUUUUGCAGUUGCAAAGUGAAUAAAGAAGUUUUUCACGGAUUGUGCGCAGAGAGAAAACUCUACAGAAAAUGUUAUUCUUCUCCAACGUUCUUUUCUUUAUUUCUCAAUCGUUCAUUUCAUUUCAUUGUCAUUGUGUGGUUGAUAACAAUCUUGUUCAUCAAGAUUGAUAGAAAUUCUCCAUAGGUUGUGGUGGAUUUCCAACAUCUGGUAUCUAAAGUUCCGGUUUAAGCGAAUCAUAGGAAGAAAAUCACGAUGUCAAUGAAUCAUCCAAACAGACAUUUUCCAGCAAAUCUUCUAAUUCUCAAGAACAAUAAUUAUGAGAAUUGGUGCAAGCAGAUAAAUGUUGUGUUCUUUUGUCAAGAUCUUUGAGAU
rnacentral:lncRNA from 1 species